rnacentral:lncRNA from 1 species
AAAAUUCCACAAUAAUGUAACUGCAGAGGCUGUAAUUGGAUUUUUCUUCCGAUAAACAGUGGUGCUAUAAGUCACAUGUUACAGCUACAACAUACAAAACCAAAAAUUGUACAAAACUCAUACAUUUCAGACCAAAGAUUUUAGUGCAAAAACAGUAGAAAAUUAUACAUGGACCGAGUCCUUGUGUUUUCUUUCUUCAGUGUCCAGAUCAUACCGAAAAAACAUACACCUAACACAUGCACUGCACACACAAGUGCAAACUCUCAUAGUAGAUUUUGUUUUGCGAACUCCUAGAGUUCUUGUGUUUUGAACUCCUCUGGUUGAACCUCCCAUUGAAAUAGAGUCUUUGCCAUAAUAUACAAUCUGCAACUGAGCAUCACAUGUGUGUUUAGUUUAAAUUCCAGGAAUUAUCACUAAGGAAUAGUUCAAAAGCAACCACACACAAGUUCAACAGAAGCACAUGGCAAAAACUAUCUACAAAAGGUAGCACAGGCACAAAAGUUUAGUACUAGUAAGCUACAAUUAGACAAGUUUACAAUUAACCGAAGUUAACUGGAAACAUAAAUAUAGAUGCAAGUUCCAACUUUUUUCAUGAACUGAUGUGGAUGAGAUGUAACCCAAACCAAUAGGUGAUUUGCGAACUUAUGAGAAAUAAUUCUGUUAAACACCUAGCUUCAGUACAAUCAUCUAUGAAAAGUUAUCUAGUUCCAAAUUAUGACCUUGAAGAAUAAUUCUCAUAAGCAUUAGAACAAGCAUGUAGAAGAGUGUUGAGGGCACACAUAAUUUUGGGGUAUUUCCUCAAGCUUCUACACUUCUUUUUAAGUAGACAAAAAUGAUGAAAGGAAACACACUUUGUAAGAUGUACUGAAAAAGCCUAAAAAGGUGAAGUGAAAUGUUUUGAACCUCCAAGAAGCCUCUCGACGAACUGAAACUUUGUGUAUCCCAGGAGGUUGACCUGCAGAGGAGCACGAACUAGAACAUUAAGCAUCAACUUCUACAACUUAUAUACACAGGAAACGUGAAUUUCUACAUCUUGUUUUGAACUUCUAGUAAAAGAUCAAGUAUUCAUUAAACCAAACAAGGGUGAUGGGAGUUGAACAAGAUCCCUCAGCCUCAUCUCUAAACAUUACCCUUUAAUCUUCCUGAACUGAAUUCCUCUCAUCUAUGUACAUUGGCAAUGGACUACUCGUGCACAAGUAGAUGUACUGCUCUCCUGGGACAGAGGGGCGAAGUGUGUGCCUCCUGAGCUGCAGGGUCGAACUACUUCGGGUUGUGUCAUUGAACGACCCGGUGUGGCGGCGGUGAACGGUAUGGGAAGUGCGACGAUGAAGCCCCACCGGCAGUGGCAGGAGGCUCGACGCAAUCGCCUAGUAGCUGCAACGGUGAACUGCUUGGGCGGCCGGGUUGGACUGCUGGUCGCCUAAUUCAUUAUCCAACAAAUGUGCUCGCCUAAUUCCAGGUACAACCUGUGAAGGUCCUAGAACAUCUAAUUCAUUAUCCAAUGAAUUUUCUUGCCUAAUGACUUGUUUAUUAUCACUGACACCGAUCCAUUAUGACGGCCUACGAAAGAAAGGUUCUUGCUUUCUUCCCUCAGGUCUGAAUCAAGAGCACCCGUAGUUUAAUUCAAAAUAAAAUGACAGUUCGAAUGGAGGCACAAAGAUCUUUACAGUCGGGAGCUGGAGAGGAGAAAUUUUGAGCAGGGUGUACCUCACGAUGGCUGGGGAAGGGGCGCUGCGAUGGUACACGGCCUCGGGCGGCGGGUUUGGUGUGCAUCUCCCUGUAUCAGUGUUGACACUCCCUCUUGUUUCCUGUCAAGAAAGAAGAAUGAGGUCACCAAUGGCGUUUUCAAGGGAAUUAAUUAGCAUGCAUUUCAUCGACAUGAGCGGCUCGCUGGAUCGGUAGCUCUACAGGAGCUCAUGAAUACACCACGACUCCAGCAGCAAAGCCCUGAGUAGUCCACCCUCUACAUCUUCCCCUUCUACUUUUGAAACCAGAAAAAAUGAAACAACUCGUCGGUACAUGAAGAAUGAGAGAAAGGAAAGUCAAAAGAACUUAAGCAUCCUACAACUACUUCUGCAAUUUAUCCUAAUCCCUUUUGCUCAGUGCUUGAAAUGUCCUACAAUAAUCAGGAAAUAGAAAGGAAAGUGGUGAGAGCUUUCGGUUGAACUUUCAACGCUUUGUCUUUUGAACUUAUAUGACCUUAUUAGUUCUUUGUUUUAAAAAUUGUAAAUACAAUGUUCCUAAUCUGAAAUAAAACAUUUUUUCUGGGAAAGUGAAAACAAUGAGACACCGAACCCUCUCUCUAAUACACACAGAACUGAUGGUAGAAUACAUAGCGAGUUGCUAAUAAUGUUUUUGAUUUUCCCCUUAGGAAACAUGAUCUUUUCUUCUUAUGAUAUAUAAAACAAAACUAUCUCUCCAACACACAUCGAACUAUUCGCACAUUUCUCUGUGGAUUGAGGAAAGAAUACAUAGUGAAAUAACAUUUACUAGUACUAGUCUUGAGAAAACAAGAGCUCAAAUGCCAAGCAAGGAGUUUUUGUGUUAGGUUUGAACUGAUAGCCUACCUGUAAGUAAACCAAGGAUCACAUAAUACUGCCCUGGAAGAUCAAAGCCAGUAAGUUACCAAGGAUGAUGAUUCGUUUUGGUGCUGUUAUGGUACUGUUACUCAUACAUUUCUUUAUUUCAGAACUGGCAAUAGAAUUAUGAUUGUCUAUUUGAGAAUCAGAUUCAAAACUGGCAAUCUAUAUAUCUGGAAAGAAAGGUAACACAGCAUGAAUGCUUGAUUAUGUAAUUUUUUUGCAACGAAAGCUACUAUUGGAACUCAUGUACCCUGUACAAGUUCGGUUCUGAAAAUAAAAUUAACAGUACAAGAAAUAAAUAAUGAGAGUGCAGCUUUUGAAAAUGUUGUGCUAAUUCAAUGCUAGGGUAGCAAAAAAUAAAACAUUACACAUCAUACUAAUUGUAGUACAAAAUGGUUCUUUUUUGCACAUUUUUGUGGGUUAAGUUCAUAUGGCCAGUAGCUAUCAAGGAUUCAAGUGAACUCUCAGUAAAAGUAAUUGUGUACUCCUCAUGUAGAAAUACCUGGACUUAUUGUCACAUGUGUUCUUUGUCAUCCAGAACACAACAACGUUUUUCUAUGCUACUCUCUCUGAUCACUUAAGAAUCACAAAAGGCUUGCAAACUGUGAGCUUGUACUCUCACUAACAAUCAAUAGGACUCUCAUGUUUCUUGAGCACAGAUCAACGGAAAACAUCCAAAAACAAAAUCUCUACUGUUUGCAAAUGUUCCAUAGAAUAUCUUAUCAUGAACGGACUGGUGAACUAACAGAGAAUUUGUUUCCAGCAACCUUCCUAGCGGUUCAGGUUUUUUUAUUUCUCGAGCUCUAAUUUUUUAGCUUGCCCGACAUCUAAACAUGAACUAACACGAUACUUCUGCUGAUAUUUUUCUGUCAAUGAACUUCUACAAUUUAGGUACUAGAACUCACUGAUGCUAUUUACUCUUCAUUUUCAAGGCAUUUUCAGUACAUGCCAAACAUUUGUUUUUUAAACACAUCCACAGGUUAAACGGAUCAGUACAUGAUGAAGAAUGUCAGUUUUCAGAAGCAAAACUUGCACUAAAUAUGUUCAGAGAACAUGAGGCUCUCAUGUACUCUAGGCUACACACCAAACCUAGCUUUUACCAUGAUGCACCUUCUACUAUGGAAUGUAGACACGGAAAUAAAACAAUUUCUUAUAAAGCUUCGUAGCCCAUUCACUUCAACCUUUAGAAGAAAAACUUAUUUUUUGGGAGAAUAGAAGAUGAUUUCUAAACUGCAGUACUUACCCCAGCGCUAGAGCUCAUGGGGAAGAGGAGUGGACAAAGGAAAAAACAUUUAUGUAGGGUGUCUGCCAUGUGAAUUGGCCAAGGUAUUUUUUGGGCAAACCUUUCUACCUAGUUGUUCGUACUUCAUAUGAACUUCACAGCAUUUUUUGUGCAAUGAACUUGCUAUCCCAGACUACUCUCUUCCCCUAUCAACCUAAUAAAACACUAUUUUUUGGUGGAGUGCUCUAGUACCUGAACUACUCUCUUCCCACUUUGUCAAAACUCUGUUCCCGCUUUGUCAAAAUUAUGUACUUUUCUCGACUCUUGUAUUUGAACUACUUAGAAUAUUUUAGUUGAACUCUUUCUAAAAGCAGUAAAACCAAGCGAUGCCGUGGUAGCUAGGAACGAAAAAGAAAACAAAGAGAGCUAGCGAACAUGCACUGCACCAUUUCGCUUUGCCAUGAGAUGGCCAUGGAGCUAGGCGAUCUUUGAUGGCCCUACAAAGGCAUUACGUAACUGAUUGUGCAAGAAACAGGAGAAAAAAGUUCAGUAGCGACACUGGCUCACCAGCAAAAAAAGACAUAUACUACAGAAUGUGCCAAAAACAAGAGAACCAACAUUUUGGCACUAAACUGUCACCACUCACUAUCGUAAAAUGUGGAAGAAACAGAAGAACCACCAUCAAUAAAAAUGUAUGUGAAGUGGAGUGUUAGUUGGAAAGAUUUAAUUUAGUAUAACAUGCAUUUUAUUAUUUCAAUAUUCUAAUUCAGAAUUAAAAUGUCCCAGGAGAGACAAUUAGCAGCUCAUGGCAAGACCUAAAUCUGCUUGAUCAGACAUUAUACAAUUGUGCACUGAAAUUCAGCUACUUAAUUUUGGAUAAGAAUCACAAUGUUGGAUUUGAAUGAAGAUACAAAUAGUAUUAGACAAACCUCAGGAUAUAGCUCAGAGCUUCAUUCGGCUAGGUAUCAUCAGUACACCCUCCAUGUCAAGUUCUGAAUUGAACAUGUUUUGAAGUUGAGACAAACAAAGUCGCAUUGGAGUUGACAGAGGGUGUUCAUGCGCCGGGUUGUCGAGGCCACGUUGAACAGGCAGUGGUGGCAGAGGUGAACGGUCUAGGGUGGCGGAGGUGAAUGGCCUGCACGUUGAGGCGGCGGGACACAUCGUCGGGAGGAGUGGGCGUGUCGCCGGCAGGAGGGGUNNNNNNNNNNNNNNCGGCGAUGGAGGUGCCGGGGUGGCUCCGAUGGCGGCUGGUGGAAGCAAGUAUGCCACGAGGGCGGGUGGAAGCCGAGGAGCCUGCGAUGGCGGGUGGAAGAGGGAGGCGACGGCGGCGCGUGGAAGGGGGAGGCUGGCGGUGGCGCGUGGAAGGAGGAGUCUAGCAACAACGCGUGGAAGGAGGAGGCCGGUGACGACGCGUGGAAGCGGGAGGCCCGCGGCGACGCGUAGAAGGAGGAGGCUGGCGACGACGCCUGGAAGCGGGACACCGGCGGCAAUGGGAGUUGUGGGUGGGUGGAUCGGGAUCUGGGAGAUGCUGGAGGUCAGGAGGCGGGGUGGGCUUUUUUUUGGGGGGUGAGGUUUGGUCAUCGGCUAGCUGCAUCACGUCUAUAUAGGGACCGAAGGUAACAUAAUAUUAUUCUAUUACUAGUAACAAAAUAGGGUGGAGUAAAAUGUUCAUAUAAGAUGGAAGAUCAAAAUUUAGGACUACAUCCAUUAUAAACCGCUAGAUCACCUAACGAUAUAUUCAAAUUCAGCAUAACGUGGAUUCAAAAAUUGAAAUUCGAGAACCUGGCAUUUGUAAUCAUAUAAAAAGAGACAUGACUCUUUCUUGUGGUGGGAAUUGAUUUGUGUUUUGUUUUUAUUGAGGGAAGUGCGAAUUGAUUUGGUACUGUAGAGUCUAAUCUUGUUCUUCCAAAAAAAUUACAUUUUUCUUUUAGUUUUUCAAUGGCAUUUAUAGCAAUAUAGUAAAAGGGGACAUGACUCUCUUGUGUCUUGUAUGAAUUGACUUUUUUGUACACGUUAAGUUUGUUUUGCCAAACAUGGAAUCCGCGCCUUGUUAUCCCGAAAUUUUCAAGCUCGAGUAUCUUUUGUCUCUUCUGCUGCGAAACUCCCACCUAUUCAACCCGCGCCAUGCCUUGUUAUCCCGAAAUUUCGACGCGCGCGAAAACUCCCUCCUCAUCCGAAAUCGGUCCCGUAGCCUAGACACGUGAAAUCCCCCUUCUACCCCUCAUCCAGAAAUGUCGCCUCGAUGUCACGUGGUCAAAACCAGUGGGGGUACGUUCAUAACUUACCCAACAUUUCAGACAAGCGCGUCCCUAAGCCAUGGUUCCCCCUACCUUCCACUUCGCCCCCCCACCAUUCAUACACCGAGGCCGCCAAAACCCGCGAAACCCCACGCUCCUCUGUCGGCCUCCCAAACGCUGCCCAGCCCGAGACUCUUCCUCGACGACGUCGUCCACAACAACAACUCAACGUCCCUCAUCCACCGCACCGGAUGAGGAUCCGUCGUCGAUCUCGUCGUCCACCUCCAAGGAGCCACCCCGACAUUUGCCUCGUCUAUCGUGCCACCUCCAUCCCCACUGCAUCGUCUUGACCUACCCCACCGGACUCGCAGCACCCUCACCAAUUCCUCCGAUGAAGCUGAGGCCUACUCGGCACCACCAAGGAGGUUCUGCACUCACUGCUGCAUUUUAUCUUUUAUUAGAUCGCACGGGCUAUCGGUGCUCGAUACCGAGCAGCCAUGGCGGGUCUCCAUCGACAGCGCCGUCACCGGCCACUUCCUCCAUGGCAUCUCUCCCCAUGUCGUUGCUUCCUCAGCGAGGCAUCCACACCAGCAAUAGUUGUUGCUGCUCCGGCUCUCGCUCACGCCGCUGUUGUUGCUGCUCUGGCUCUCUCGCACUGUGGCUCUACUCUUACUGUCAAUCGCGCUGCUGCACUACUCUUGCUUUCAUUCAUGCUGCUGCUCUGCUCUGCUCUUGCUGUCGGUAACACUGCUGCUCCGCUCUUGCUCUUGUUCGUGCUGCAGCUCUGCUCUUGCUCUCGUUCAUGUUGUUGCUCUGCUCUGCUCUUGCUCUCGCUCGCGCUACUGCUGUUGCACGAUCUGCGUCAGCUACAGGAGUUGCUGCUUUGGCACUCACUCCUGGUGCUGCUACAUGAGCUGCUCUCUGCUAGUGCGUUCCCUGCUCGAGCGGCUGCUGAUUUAGAUCACUGCUUCUAUGCUACCAGUGCUCGAAAGCCCUAUACUUCUAUGGCAGUUCAAUCAAUUUCAUUAGUAAAAUUCAGUUUCGACAGUAAAAUUUAGUUUUGACUGUAAAGUUUAGUUUCUUCAACUAAGUUCGGAGUCAAUAGUAUUUACAGCAUCUGUCGGAGCGGCCACAGCGCAGCUGAUGCAUUUUACGUCUAGCACUUUUUGGUGGUGUAUUUUACAUCAUCUAUUGCAGAUGCUAUUAGACUCCCACUUUAGAUUAACGUUGUCUAUCUUGUCCUGCUUCUGCCUUACCGUCGUACACCUCACCUGAGCUACUCCAAGGACGGAACCAUCCAUCACAGUGGAUCGGAGCAGUACCCUCGGCGGCGUCCCUAGAGGCCUCAGAUCUUCUUCCCCGCCUCUAACAGUCACACCAGCAUCACCAUCCUCCACGUCCAACCCAAUGAUGUUGAGGUCGACAAGGCUAUGCCAAAGAGGUUGUGCACUCAUCGCAUCACUUUGUUACUCUACAUUCAUGUCGAUCCCUCAGGGAUCCUUUGGUUCAAAGCAGUUGCAAAUCUAGAAAUAAAUGAAUCGUGGUCACAAAGUUAAUAGGGAGAAAACUAAAUGCUCUUUUGAACCACAAUUUGAAUCGGUUUAGCAAGAUAUCCAUUAUAUGAUAUUCAUGUGGACCAAAUCUAAUCUCACAAAAUAUUUCGAGGGCAGGCUUCAGCCUGUUGAACACUGCCUACUAGAAUCACCACUCGUUCAAAGAAAAAGUGAAGGAAAACAUAGGAACUAGAAACUUUACUAUGGUACUACUAUUCAUGCAUUUAGUUAGAAGGAAUGGAGCAAAGCAAAACUAGAGGAUUUUUUCCUUUGGUGUCUCUUUCAAAGAAAGAACGUAGGAAUUUUAAUAUCCACUUGCACGUCCUUUUCAAAUUAAUAUGCAUGAAGAACAGGACUAAGUGCAUUACUAGCAUAAUAAGAUUCUUAUUUUACAUUUUAAUGUGGUUUGACUUUAAUUUGACCAUGUUUCUCCAUUCAUGUGUUCUUCCAAUUCAUGUGAACCAAACACCCAGGUUGACAGAAAUCCUAUGUUUGCAAAUGCUCUGUUUUGCAUGUGCAUUCCUAUCCUAUUCCUGUGUUUUUCCUAUCCCUGCAUUUUUAGAAUCCUCCAAUUUUAAGGAGCCCUUACGGAUUUACUUCAUUUUCAGAUAGGUGUCUAAGAAAACUCUGUGUGUUUUCCUGCUCCUGCCGUGUCGUCAUCCACCCCACCUGAGGUGCACCAUCGAAAUAAGCGUUCACUGCAGCAGAGAUUCCCCCUGCAGACCUUCUUUUGCCGCCUUAGAUCAUCUUCCCCAUUGCCGGUAGCCAUGCCAACUGCAUUACCAUCAUUAACUGAGCAGAUGAACCUGAGGACUACACAGUUCCGGAAGAGAGGUCGCACUCUUUUGUGUCUGCUUACCAUAUACAUCGGUUAUUUUUACCUGCUACUUUCGUCCUGUUCACCUCUUAGACUCUGAGUUAGGUCCAAACUAAUGUUCAAGCUUGAGUUUUAAAAUUCCUGUGGGGCACAUAUCGAGGCAGCAACAAAUAGUAUAUGUCUACUAUCUGGUUCAUCUAGGGUCUUCUAUGUGGUUCAUGUUGGGUGGGCAACAAACAGUAGAUGAUCCAUCGUCUAUCUUUUUAAAUGGAAGCUAUCAUCUGCCUGCUAUCAUUAGUUUUGGAUCUAUCCACUCAUUUGCUACCAUCAGUCUUGAUUUCUCCUUGCACCCCUUAGGCCUUACAUAAUCUAACUAUGUUUUUUUAUUUAUGCAUGUCAGUUAUUUUACGCAAUCGUACUGAACAUGUAGAGAAAAAGAGAAGACCGGUGUGUGGGAAUAUAAUGUCAUGCAGAUGCCGCUCCAUGGUGGGCGAAGUGGGGGCCCCCUCCCCCCAUUCCAGAUUGUAUUUCGAAGAAAGAUAACUGUUUAGAGGGCAAUUCAGAGGGAGCCGACCACUCCUAUUUACCCCCUAAGGUGUUUGCUCUAACCUGGCAUGCUGAUGUUGGUCCUAUCAUGCAUAUGGCGCCUCGCAUUGCUUAAUUUAUACAUCCUAUAUGUCAUCAACUUAGUUUUAGAUUUGCUUUGUGUGAACGCCACCUAUUUGGUUUCUAUAUCAUACUUCCACCGUUCCUAAAUAUUUUUCUUUUUAGAGAUUUCAACAAGUGACUACAUAUGGAGCAAAAUAAGUGAAUCUACACUCUAAAAUAUGUCUAUAUACAUCUGUAUGGGGUACUCCAUUUGAAAUCUCUAAAAAGACAAAUACUUAGGAACAUAGGGAGUAUAUGUGAAUUAUGCAAUGCUAUAUUCUUUAGCCAAUCAUCAUAUAUAUGAAUCAUGCAAUUCCAUCAUGUUUAGCCAGUCACUGUAUAUGUGAGUUGUAUCAUGCCAUACUAUUUUUUCAUAAUGUAUUCCAUUUGUCAAUAACGUUUGUACAUUCAUCUACUCUUUCUAUGCAUCAGCCAUUUGAGUCGGUCAUGGGAAAAUCUAGAGUGAAAACAAGGUCUUCUGAGCAGUCAGUGCUACCUGUCGAUGCAGAUUUCUUGUUGGUUACUGAUAGCUCCUAAGAGGAGGAUUCAGAGACAGAUGACCAGUNNNNNNNNNNNNNNNNNNNNNNNNNNNNNNNNNNNNNNNNNNNNNNNNNNNNNNNNNNNNNNNNNNNNNNNNNNNNNNNNNNNNNNNNNNNNNNNNNNNNNNNNNNNNNNNNNNNNNNNNNNNNNNNNNNNNNNNNNNNNNNNNNNNNNNNNNNNNNNNNNNNNNNNNNNNNNNNNNNNNNNNNNNNNNNNNNNNNNNNNNNNNNNNNNNNNNNNNNNNNNNNNNNNNNNNNNNNNNNNNNNNNNNNNNNNNNNNNNNNNNNNNNNNNNNNNNNNNNNNNNNNNNNNNNNNNNNNNNNNNNNNNNNNNNNGUUUAUGCUCUAACUUAGAAGGGUUAUAUUGCUCAUAUCAUGCAUAUGGUGUCUUGCAUUUCCAUGCCAUCUGCUUAGAUUAGACAUGCUUUGUGUGAAUGCCUCCUGUUUGCUUUCUAUAUCAGAUAUGUGAAUUAUGCAAUGCCAUGUUUUUAGUCAGUUAUCAUAUAUGUGAAUUAUGAACCGCCAUGUAGCCAAGUAUCAUAUAUGUGAAUUAUCUCAUGCCAUCAUUUUUUUCAUUACGUAUUCCAUUUGUCGACAGUCUAUGUAUAUUGAACUACUCUUCAUGUGUUUUAGCCAUUUGAUCCAGUUAUGGAAAAAUCUGGAGUGAAAAUAAGGUCUUUAGAGCAGGCAAUGGUACCUGUUGAAGCAUAUAUCUCGACAGAUGACCAAUAUUAUAUCCCACCAUAGGUGUAUGCUCUAACUUGCAAUGUUUAUGUUUCUCAUAUCAUGCAUAUGGUGUCUUGCAUUGCUUAGUUUAGACAUCAUAUAUACAAUAUUCAAUGCCAUCUGCUUAGUUUAGAGAUCAUACAUGUGAGUGCCAAUACGUCUCCAAUGUAUCUAUAAUUUUUUAUUGUUCCAUGCUAUUAUAUUAUUUGUUUUGAAUGUUUAAUGGGCUUUACUAUACACUUUUAUAUUAUUUUUGGGACUAACCUAUUAACCGGAGGCCCAACCCAAAUUGCUGUUUUUUUUGCUUAUUUGAGUGUUUCGCAGAAAAGGAAUAUCAAACGGAGUCCAAAUGGAAUGAAACCUUCGGGAGAGUUAUUUUUGGAACAAACGGAAUCCAGGAGACUUGGAGUGGACAUCAAGGAACAAAUGAGGCGGCCACGAGGUAGGGAGGUGCGCCCAGGGGGGUAGGCGUGCCCCCACCCUCGUGGGCCCCUCGUGGCUCCCCUGACCGACUUCCUUCACCUAUAUAUACUCAUAUACCCUGAAAACAUCCAGGAGCACCACGAAACCCUAUUUCCACCGCCACAACCUUCUGUACCCAUGAGAUCCCAUCUUGGGGCCUUUUCUGGCAUUCCGCCGGAGGGGGAAUCGAUCACGGAGGGCUUCUACAUCAACACCAUAGCCUCUCCGAUGAAGUGUGAGUAGUUUACCACAGACCUUCGGGUCCAUAGUUAUUAGCUAGAUGGCUUCUUCUCUCUCUUUGGAUCUCAAUACAAAGUUCUCCUCGAUUUUCUUGGAGGUCUAUUCGAUGUAAUUAUUUUUGCGGUGUGUUUCUCGAGAUCCGAUGAAUUGUGGGUUUAUGAUCAAGAUUAUCUAUGAACAAUAUUUGAAUCUCCUCUAAAUUAUUUUAUGUAUGAUUUGUUAUCUUUGCAUGUCUCUUCGAACUAUCAGUUUGGUUUGGCCUACUAGAUUGAUAUUUCUUGCAAUGGUAGAACUUCUUAGCUUUGGGUUCAAUCUUGCGGUGUCCUUUCCCAGUGACAGCAGGGGCAGCAAGGCAUGUAUUGUAUUGUUGCCAUCAAGGAUAAAAAGAUGGGGUUUAUAUCAUAUUGAUUGAGUUGAUCCCUCUACAUCAUGUCAUCUUUCCUAAUGUGUUACUCUGUUCUUACGAACUUAAUACUCUAGAUGCAUGUUGGAUAGCGGUCGAUGUGUGGAUUAAUAGUAGUAGAUGCAGAAUCGUUUCGGUCUACUUGUUGCGGACGUGAUGCCUAUGUACAUGAUCAUGCCUAGAUAUUCUCAUAACUAUGCAAUUUUCUAUCAAUUGCUCGACAGUAGUUUGUCCACCCACCAUAAUACUUAUGCUAUCUUGAGAGAAGCCACUAGUGAAACCUAUGGCCUCCGGGUCUACUUUCCAUCAUAUAAGUUUCCAAUCUAUUUUAUUUUGCAAUCUUUACUUUCCAAUCUAUACCAUAAAACUACCAAAAAUAUUUAUCUUAUUAUUAUCUCUAUCAGAUCUCACUUUUGCAAGUGGUCGUGAAGGGAUUGACAACCCCUUCAUCGCGUUGGUUGCAAGGUUCCUAUUUGUUUGUUUAGGUAAUCUUAUUUGUUUGUAUGAGGGAUUUGUGUGUAGCCUCCUACUGAAUUGAUACCUUGGUUCUCAAAAACUAAGGGAAAUACUUACGCUACUUUGAUGCAUCACCCUUUCCUCUUCAAGGGAAAAACCAAGGGUAGCAAGAAGGAUUUAUGGCGCCGUUGCCGUGGAGGUCUACGCACAAGUCAAGACAUACCAAGUACCCAUCACAAACUCUUAUCCCUCGCAUUACAUUAUUUGCCAUUUUCCUCUCAUUUUCCUCUCCCCCACUUCACCCUUGCCGUUUUAUUCGCCCUUUUUCCGUUCGUCUCUUUUUGCUUGCAUCUUCGCUUGCUAAAAGUUUAUGGAUCCUCAUCCACUUGCUAAUCUUUUUAAGAGAUCCAACUAUGAUUAACCAAUUGCUAGUGAGUUUUGUGCACUAGAUUAUCUUUAUGAGGUUUUGCUUGAAAUUCGUGAAUGUGAAAAUUGUGAUGAAGUGCUUUAUGAAGAGAUUCAUGAUAGCUCCUUGAAUAAAAAGCAUGAUUGCAAUGAUGUUAUUAUAAAUUCUAUUAAUAUCAAUUGUGCUAGUAAUACGCAAAACCCUAAGCUUGGGGAUGCUAGUUUUGCUAUGUCUACUAUUUGUUGCAAUGAUCAUGAUUGGCAUGAUUCUUUUUAUGAUCUUGAAAAUUUAUUUAAGCCCCAUGAUGAAUAUGAGAUUGAUAAUAGUGUUUGCAAUAUUAUUGAAAGUGGGUUUGGAAGAGUGUCAACAUUAGAUCCCACAUAUUUGGAGAAUGUUCAAUCUUAUGAAAUUUUUGAUAAAAGUGGGUUUGGAGAGGUCAUGACUUUAGUUAAUGUUAAUCCCACUAUUUUGGAAGAGUGUCAACUUUGCAUGCAUGUGGAUCGUGUUGGGAAUAUGUUAUGUGAUAGCUAUAUUGUUGAAUUUUCUUAUGAUACUACAUGUAAUUAUUAUGAGAGAGGAAAAUAUGGUUGUAGAAAUUCUCAUGUUACUAAAUUUCCUCUCGUUAUGUUGAGAUUACUAUUGUUUCUUUCUUCUUCCUUGCAUAUGCUAGAUCUUGCUUGUCUUGAUAAUUUGUUUUACUAUAAGAUUCCUAUGCGUAGGAAGUAUGUUAGACUUAUAUGUGUUUGUCACAUGUUUUAUGAUGAUCUCUUUGCGCUUCAGUUCUUAUCUUUUAUAUGAGCAUCAUCAAAUUUAUCAAUGCCUAGCUAGGGGCUUAAACGAUAGCGCUUGUUGGGAGGCAACCCAAUUUUAUUUUUGUUCUUUACUUUUUGUUCCUGUUUAGUAAUAAAUAAUUCAUAUAGCCUCUGUUUAGAUGUGGUUUUUUGUUUUAAUUAGUGUUUGUGCCAAGUAGAACCUUUGGGAAGACUUGGGUGAAGUCUUUAUGAUCUUGCUGUAAAAAACAGAAACUUUAGCGCUCACGAGAUUAGCUGCCAUUGUUUACUGGACAGUGAUUUUAGGUUGAUUCUUUUUGCAGAUGAUUAAUAGGUAAAUUCCUCACGUCCACCAAUUUAUUUCAGAAUUUCUGGAUUUACAGAAGUAUUCAAAAGUUAUAGAUUACUACAGACUGUUCUGUUUUUGACAGAUUUUGUUUUUCGUGUGUUGUUUGCUUAUUUUGAUGAAUCUAUGGCUAGUAUCGGGGGGUAUGAGCCAUAGAGAAGUUGGAAUACAGUAGGUUUAUCACCAAUAGAAAUAAAGAACGAGUUCAUUACAGUACCUUAAAGUGGUGGUUUGUUUUCUUGCACUAACGGAGCUCAUGAGAUUUUCUAUUGAGUUUUGUGUCGUGAAGUUUUCAAGUUUUCGGUAAAGAUUUGAUUGAUUAUGGAAUAAGGAGUGGCAAGAGCCUAAGCUUAAGGUAAAAUUCAUGGACAACCAAAAUCCUAAGCUUGGGUAUUCCCCGUAUGGCAUCCCCUCUUUCGUCUUCGUUCAUCGGUAACUUUACUUGAGGCUAUAUUUUUAUUCACCACAUGAUAUGUGUUUUGCUUGGAGAGUCUUGUAUGAUUUGAGUCUUUACUUUUUAGCUUACCACAAUCAUCCUUGUUGUACACACCUUUUGGGAGAGACACACAUGAAUCGUAAUUUAUUAGAAUACUCAAUGUGCUUCACUUAUAUCUUUUGAGCUAGACAAUUUUGCUCUAGUGCUUCACUUAUAUCUGUUUAGACCACGGCGGUGGUUUUAUUUUGUAGAAAUUAUUGAUCUCUCAUGCUUCACUUAUAUUAUUUUGAGAGUCUUUUAGAACAGCAUGGUAUUUGCUUUGAUUAUAAAAUUAGUCAUAAUAUGACGGGCAUCCAAGUUGGAUAUAAUAAAAACUUUCAUAUACAGUGCAUUAAAUACUAUGAUAAAUUUGAUACUUGAUAAUUGUUUUGAGAUAUAAAGGUGGUAAUAUUAGAACCAUGCUAGUUGGGUAAUUAUGAAAUUGAGAAAUACUUGUGUUAAAGUUGGCAAGUCCCGUAGCAUGCACGUAUGAUGAAUGUUGUGUGACAAAUUUGAAAGCAUGGGGUGUUCUUUGAUUGCCUUCCUUAUGAGUGGAAGUCAGGAUCGCACGAUGAUUAACUCCUACCAACCCUUCCCCUAGGAGCAUGCAUAGUAGUACUUUGCUUCAAGGGCUAAUAAACUUUUUGCAAUAAGUAUAUGAGUUCUUUAUGACUAAUGUGAGUCCAUGGAUUAUACGCACUCUUACCCUUCCGCAAUUUGCUAGCCUCUACGGUACUGUGCAUUGCCCUUUCUCACCUUGAGAGUUGGUGCAAACUUCGUCGGUGCAUCCAAACCCCGUGAUACAGUAUGCUCUAUCACACAUAAACCUCCUUAUAUCUUCCUCAAAACAGCCACCAUACCUACCUAUUAUGGCAUUUCCAUAGCCAUUCCGAGAUAUAUUGCCAUGCAACUUUCCACCGUUCCGUUUAUUAUGACACGCUCCAUCAUUGUCAUAUUGCUUUUGCAUGAUCAUGUAGUUGACAUCGUAUUUGUGGCAAAGCCACCUUAUAAUUCUUUCAUACAUGUCGCUCUUGAUUCAUUGCAUAUCCCGGUACACCGCCGGAGGCAUUCACAUAGAGUCAUAUUUUGUCCUCAGUAUUGAGUUGUAAUUCUUGAGUUGUAAAUAAAUAGAAGUGUGAUGAUUUCCAUUAUUAGAGCAUUGUCCCAUGUGAGGAAAGGAUGACGGAAGCAAUGAUUCCCCCACAAGUAGGGAUGAGACUCUGGACUUUAUGAAAAAUAAAAGAGGCCAAAGAAGCCCAAAUAAAAAAAGAGGCCAAAGAAGCCCACAAAAAAAGAGAAAAGAAAAAAAUGAGAGAAAAAGAGAGAAGGGGCAAUGUUAGUAUCCUUUUUCAACACUUGUGCUUCAAAGUAGCACCAUUAUCUUCAUGAUAGAGAGUCUCCUAUGUUGUCACUUUCAUAUACUAGUGGGAAUUUUUCAUUAUAGAACUUGGCUUGUAUAUUCCAAUGAUGGGCUUCCUCAAAUUGCCCUAGGUCUUCGUGAGCAAGCAAGUUGGAUGCACACCCACUUAGUUUAUUUUGAUGAGCUUUCAUACAUUUAUUGCUCUAGUGCAUCCGUUGCAUGGCAAUCCCUACUCCUCGUAUUGACAUCAAUUGAUGGGCAUCUCCAUAGCCCAUUGAUUAGCCGCGUCAAUAUGAGACUUUCUCCUUUUUGUUUUCUCACAUAAUCCCUAUCAUCAUACUCUGCUCCACCCAUAUGCCAUAUCCAUCGCUUACGCUCAUGUAUUGCAUGAGGGUGGAAAAGGCUGAAGCGCGUUAAAAAGUAUGAACCAAUUGCUUGGCUGAAACCGGGGUUGUGCAUGAUGGGAUCAUUUUGUGUGACGAAAAUGAAGCAUGGCCUAACUAUAUGAUUUUGUAGGGAUAAGCUUUGUUAGUAUGCUUGUUUUUAUGUCAAUAUUAAACUUUUAUCUUGAAUCUUUUGGAUCUGAACAUUCAUGCCACAAUAAAGAAAAUUACUUUGAGAAAUAUGUUAGGUAGCAUUCCACAUCAAAAAAACUGUUUUUAUCAUUUACCUACUCAAGGACGAGUAGGAAUUAAGCUUGGGGAUGCUUGAUACGUCUCCAACGUAUCUAUAAUUUUUUAUUGUUUCAUGCUAUUAUAUUAUCUGUUUUGGAUGUUUAAUGGGCUUUACUAUACACUUUUAUAUUAUUUUUGGGACUAACCUAUUAACCGGAGGCCCAGCCCAAAUUGCUAUUUUUUUUGCUUAUUUCAGUGUUUCGCAGAAAAGGAAUAUCAAAAGGAGUCCAAACGGAAUGAAACCUCCGGGAGAGUUAUUUUUGGAACAAACGCAAUCAAGGAGACUUGGAGUGGACGUCAAGGAACAAAUGAGGCGGCCAUGAGGUAGGGAGGCACGCCCAGUGGGGUAGGCGCGCCCCCCACCCUCGUGGGCCCCUUGUGGCUCCCCUGACCGACUUCCUUCGCCUAUAUAUACUCAUAUACCCUGAAAACAUCCAGGAGCACCAUGAAACCCUAUUUCCACCGCUGCAACCUUCUGUACCCAUGAGAUCCCAUCUUGGGGCCUUUUCCGGCGCUCUGUCAAGGGGGAAUCGAUCACGGAGGGCUUCUACAUCAACACCAUAGCCUCUCCGAUGACGUGUGAGUAGUUUACGACAGACCUUCGGGUCCAUAGUUAAUAGCUAGAUGGCUUCUUCUCUCUCUUUGGAUCUCAAUACAAAGUUCUCCUCGAUUUUCUUGGAGAUUUAUUCGAUGUAAUUAUUUUUGCGCUGUGUUUUUCGAGAUCCUAUGAAUUGUGGGUUUAUGAUCAAGAUUAUCUAUGAACAAUAUUUGAAUCUCCUCUGAAUUCUUCUAUGUAUGAUUUGUUAUCUUUGCAAGUCUCUUCGAAUUAUCAGUUUGGUUUGGCCUACUAGAUUGAUCUUUCUUGCAAUGGGAGAAGUGCUUAGCUUUGGGUUCAAUCUUGCGGUGUCCUUUCCCAGUGACAGCAGGGGCAGCAAGGCACGUAUUGUAUUGUUGCCAUCGAGGAUAAAAAGAUGGGGUUUAUAUCAUACUGCUUGAGUUUAUCCUUCUACAUCAUGUCAUCUUGCCUAAUGCGUUACUCUGUUCUUAUGAACUUAAUACUCUAGAUGCAUGCUGGAUAGCGGACAAUGUGUGGAGUAAUAGUAGUAGAUGCAGAAUCGUUUCGAUCUACUUGUCGUGGACAUGAUGCCUAUAUACAUGAUCAUGCCUAGAUAUUCUCAUAACUAUGCACUUUUCUAUCAAUUGCUCGACAGUAAUUUGUUCACCCACCGUAAUACUUAUGCUAUCUUGAGAGAAGCCACUAGUGAAACCUAUGGGCCUCGGGUCUACUUUCCAUCAUAUAAGUUUUCGAUCUAUUUUAUUUUGUAAUCUUUAGUUUCCAAUCUAUACCAUAAAAAUACCAAAAAUAUUUAUCUUAUUAUUAUCACUAUCAGAUCUCACUUUUGCAAGUGGCCGUGAAGGGAUUGACAACCGCUUUAUCGCAUUGGUCGCAAGGUUCUUAUUUGUUUGUGUAGGUACGAGGGAUUUGCGUGUAGCCUCCUACUGGAUUGAUACCUUGGUUCUCAAAAACUGAGGGUAAUACUUAUGCUACUUUGCUGCAUCACCCUCUCCUCUUCAAUGGAAAACUAACUUAUGCUCAAGAGGUAGCAAGUGUCAGCUGCUUAGUAUAUGAAUCAAUUAUGUGAAUUAUAUCAUGCCAUCCUGUAUACUUAGACAACAUGUAUGUGAAUUAUUUCAUCCCAAACUAUUUUAGAAAGACAUCAUAUAGUUUUGUCAUGUCAUCCUGUUUAGAUACUCAUCAUUUAUUGAAUUAUGCCAUUAUAUCCUAUUAAGUUAUCCAUCAUAUAUCUAAAACUGUGUUAUGCUAUCCUGUUCAGUUAGCCAUCAUAUAUGUGAAAUUGUGUCAUGUUGUCGUGUUUGGUUAGACAACAUAUAUGUGAAUUACCACAUCUGUCUAUCCUACAAUGAUGUACUUUCAAUUUCUUUUCUUGUUUAUCAGCCAUUUGAAUUGGAGGGGUGAUGGCAGUAUCUAAGGGAGUAAAAACCCAUUCUUCACAAAAGACGGUGAUACCCGUCGAUGCAGAUAGAACCAUGGUUGUACUAGCCCACGAACUAGCCCCACCACACAUAAUCGAGACUCCUCCAAAUUGUACACUUACACCAUUGGACAAAGAACCAGCUACACCCCAUCUAACCCCAACCUCAGCGGAUAGUAACCCACUUCUAGUUGACACAGCACCAUGUCCACGACAAAGUACCGCCACACGAGCAGUUUGUAAAGCAACUGCAGUGCCCAAAGCACGAAGACCACCAUAGUGAACCCAAACGCCAGGUUUAAAGCAGGAGAGCAACUACACUCAGGUCAUAUUACGUAGCUAUGGUCCAUACUCUUUGCUCUUGCAUCACUGUAUUUACUCAUACCAACUAAUUCCGAAUUUGAAGGAUCCAAUUGAAACUCCAAUGCACAACUGGUAUGUUUUAAACCUAUUUCUUUAAUUGGAUUGUUGUUCUAACUUAUUGCUCCAUGUUGAUUUCAGUUUCAGUUGUAUAAACAGUUAUGUUUUCAUGUCAUGCACAUUACAAGUGUUGUCAGUGAUGUGUAGUUUCCCACACUUAUAUUCUAUCUAUGCUGCUGUGUCUUAAAAAGAUAUGAUUUGAACUGUGUAUCUAUCUUAAUUUGGCAACAUAAACUAGAAUGAUCUGGACAAUACGGUGACCAUAGUACAUAGAUAUAUGUUUGUUUUAUGUUGUUAUCCUGUCCAGCUUACUACUGAACCUGUUUACCAAAAUGAGUUUCAAAUAGGGACAAUUGCAUUUUUACCCCUAGUUGGUUCCUACCCACGGGUUUUGCCCUUACUUUUCGAGCUUGCUCAGUUUUGCCCUUAUUUUUUCCGUCGAGGUCCCUCGAAUGCCCUUUGACCUUUUGACCAAAACUUUGAAAAUUCAUAACUAAUUCAUAUGAACUCAGAAAAAUGCAAAUAAGAUAUUAAAAUGUUCAGAUAAACAUUACCUUUAUGGGCAUAUCAUUUGCAUUCAGGACAAAAGCAUCAUUUAAACUACCCGAGGUAAUUAAUGUUAUUAACAUUAUUAAAAAUAAAUAGGUAAAAACAAUAUUUUUUUCCGUGAAUAAAAAUUAUAUACAAAUGUAGGUGAUGUUUUCUGAACAUCCUGGUACCUUAUUUGCAUUUUCCUGAGUUCGUAUCAACUUGUUAUGAAGUUUCCAAAUAAUGGUCAAAGUCAUUAGAACAUUCAUAACAAGUUGAUACAAACUCUGAAAAAUGCAAAUAAGUUAUCACGAUGUUCAGAAAACAUCACCUACAUUUGCAUGUAAUUUUUAUUCAUGAAAAAAAUAUUGUUUAUACCUAUUUAUUUUUAAUAAUGUUAAUAAUACUAAUUACCUCGGGUAGUUUAAAUGAUGCUUUUGUCUUGAAUGCAAAUGAUAUGCCCAUAAAGGUAAUGUUUAUCUGAACAUUUUGAUAUCUUAUUUGCAUUUUUCUGAGUGCAUAUGAAUUAGUUAUGAAUUUUCAAAGUUUUGGUCAAACAGUCAAAGGGCAUUCGAGGGAUCUCAACAGAAAAAGUAAGGGCAAAACUGAGCAAGCUCGAAAAGUAAGGGCAAAACCCGUGGGUAGGAACCAACUAGGGGUAAAAAUGUAAUUGUCCCUUUCAAAUACUACAUGCUAAACCUGUGAUGUGUGUGUUUGUUUCUCUUGUAAAAUGCGGACAGAAUAUUGGAGAAUAGCACCCCAUUAUGCAAUGGUAGAGAAAGUAAUGCAGAUAAGGUUUAAGAUAAUGAGACAACCAUGUUGGUAUCCAAGAAAGGUAAUAAAAACUAUCUUGCAGACAGUGAGACAACCCCAAAGUCCUGCAUUGAUGUAGUGUUCGAGUUACUAGCCACUACCUCUGGCACAAGCUCUUAGAACUCACUGCCUGAAUCACUUUGGCUUCUUCAGUCUCACCUACAAGCUGAAAGGCAUCAGUCAGCUGUGUUGCGGCAAGAAGCUGAAGGACUAAGGAAGUCCUUGCAGAAUUUAGAUGCAUACUUUCUGGUGCAACAACAAUCGAUGCAUGAUUUUAGCGCCAAACAAGAGAAAACUAAUAAUCUUGCUAAGGUUCUUGCCAGCAUGGUGGGUAUCCAGGAUAUCGUUUCUUGAGCUCUUCUGAAGUGGUUUCAAUUCUGGACUUGUUUUGCUGCUGCGUUUAUUUUCACUGGUGGCCAAUUUUGAUGCCCAGUGUAUGUAAUAUGCUGCUUUGUUCACAAUAUUUGCAUUGGUGGCGAACUUUGAAGCCCAGGGGAUGUAAUAUUUGUAAUAGCCAUAAUAGCCUAGCAUAAGUAGCUUGCUUAUUUAUUUCCUUAUUGUCUUGUUUGUUUUUUUUGCUUGUAGUUGUUGCACUUCUUUUUCUGCAGAACCUUUUUAUUUAGAAUUAGACCAUAAUAACCAUGGGCAACAUACGAACCGUUGUAACCAUGGUCCUGCUGCCUGUUGUUGUGGGCCUCCUAAGGUCUGUAUGAUCCAUGGGACUUCUAUGGGCCAUAGAUUCAAUGGGACUUCUACGGGCCGUAUGAUCGACUUGCCAAACAUGGGUCGUACUUCCGUGAACAAUUAAUGGACCGCAAUAUGAGUCGUAAAUGGGCUAUAAUGGGAAUCAUCUAUUUAUGGGCGGGCCAUAACGGGCCGUUACUAGGCCCAUGUGUACAACGGGCUUAAUUCCAACAGCAGGCAUAAUGGGUCAUUAAUUGGGCAUAUUUGAUGACGCUAUGAAAAUGGCCCAAUAGAUUAAAGGGCCAUAGACGGUCGACUUUAAGCACGGACUGAAUUUGGCCCACAAGGGGAAUAGGCCAGUAACAGACCAUAUAGUAAUCGAAUGCCGGAAAUGAGCCCAAUAAUAAAUGGGCCCUUAGAAGGCUGAAAGAUAACACAGGCUGAAACGGCCCAAUGGAAUAAUGGGUCGUUAAUGGGUAUAAAGCGAUAUACUGUUCAUUAUGGGCCAGUUUCACCAUGGGUCGUUUACGAGCAAAGAUUUACAAAGGGCCUCAUAUGGGCCAAAAGACGUCAUGGGCCAUACAUGGGCCAGAAGUUACAACAGGCUAGAAUCAUAUUGGACGGCCCAUAUGGAACUACUGGGCCUAAUUCGGAUAGGCUAUAAUGGGCCGUGAGUUAGCGGGCUGUAAAUGGGCUAUAUGGAACUUGCCGUUAACAGGCCUUCCGUGGGCCGGGCUGCUACCUUUUGACUAAGUCAAAUAGGCCAGCCUUUUGACCUGAAUGGGCCACUGUUGGGCCAUGCCACGUGUCGACGUAUCAUAGGAGCAUCCCGUCCAUUCGCUGGAUGACAUUUGUCCCAGCACUGAGCUGACACGUGGAUACUCUGGCGAAUGAGAAUUUUACAUGUGGAAAAUCCCCACUGGUCAGGGCUAUUAACAGGUUAUCGGAUCCAACCCAGAACCUGAUAGCUUAACGGUGACCCAUUACGGUGGAUGCCAUGUGUCGAUUACCCUUGAAGAAAACACUUCCAUGACGCGUGAUUUAUCGUCAUGGAAGUGGACACUUCCGUGCUGAUAAUUCUGGUAUUGUCCUGGAACACUUCUAUGAUAGCAUAGGUAUGACUAUCUUGAUUCCGUCAUAAAAUCAUCAUGGAUGUACAUGCAUGGCAGAAAAUGUGAACUAAUGUGACAAACACAUAUCAUCACGGAAGUAUUUUUUGUAGUGGAGGCGUCGGGCGUGCCUUCCUAUACGGGAGGAAGGCAAACCUCGGUCGUAGGGGCGGGGGCCUGGCUGUCGUCACUCGCCGAUGCAUGCUUCAUCUCGGGGCGGUCCUUGGGGAGCAGCUGCUUCUUCUUCGUGGGGUGGCCUCGGGAGGCGCGAUGGCGCCCUCGCUGCCGGCUUUCUCAGCUGCGGUAGGCAUGCUCGAGGUAGCAGACUGCGCCCUUCUCAUCACAAGCGACGGUGAUGACGCCACUGCAGCCAGGCAUCUUGAGGACAUUGUAGCCGUGGUGGGUGAUAUGUCUCCAACGUAUCUACUUUUCCAAACACUUUUGCCCUUGUUUUGGACUCUAACUUGCAUGAUUUGAAUGAAACUAACCCGGACUGACGAUGUUUUCAUCAGAACUGCCAUGAUGUUGUUUUAUGUGUAGAAAACAAAAGUUCUCGGAAUAACCUGAAAAUCCACGGAGGCAAGUUUUGGAAAAUAUAAAAAAUAUUGGUGAAAGAAUCAAGACCAGGGGGACCACACCCUAUCCACGAGGGUGGGGGCGCGCCCACCCCCAUGGGCGCGCCCCCUGUCUCGUGGGCCCCCUGACGCUCCACGGACCUCAACUCCAACUCCAUAUAUUCCGCUUCGUGGAGACAAAAAUCAGAGAGAAAGUUUCAUCGCGUUUUAUGAUACAGAGCCGCUGCCAAGCCCUAAUCUCUCUCGGGAGGGCUGAUCUGGAGUCCGUUCGGGGCUCCGGAGAGGGGGAUUCGUCGAUGUCGUCAUCAUCAACCAUCCUCCAUCACCAAUUUCAUGAUGCUCACCACCGUGCGUGAGUAAUUACAUCGUAGGUUUGCUGAACGGUGAUGGGUUGGAUGAGAUUUACCAUGUAGUCAAGUUAGUUUUGUUAGGGUUUGAUCCCUAGUAUCCACUAUGUUCUGAGAUUGAUGUUGCUAUGACUUUGCUAUGCUUAAUGCUUGUCACUAGGGCCCGAGUGCCAUGAUUUCCAAUCUGAACCUAUUAUGUUUUCAUGAAUAUAUGUGUGUUCUUGAUCCUAUCUUGCAAGUCUAUAGUCACCUAUUAUGUGUUAUGAUCCGACAACCCCGAAGUGACAAUAAUCGGGAUACUUCUCGAUGAUGACCAUAGUUUGAGGAGUUCAUGUAUUCACUAUGUGCUAAUGAUUUGUUCCGGUUCUCUAUUAAAAGGAGGCCUUAAUAUUCCUUAGUUUCCACUAGGACCCCGCUGCCACGGGAGGGUAGGACAAAAGAUGUCAUGCAAGUUCUUUUCCAUAAGCAUUUAUGACUAUAUUCGGAAUACAUGCCUACAUUACAUUGAUGAAUUGGAGCUAGUUCUGUGUCACCCUAUGUUAUAGCUAUUACAUGAGGAAUCGCAUCCGACAUAAUUAUCCAUAACUGAUCCAAUGCCUACGAGCUUUUCACAUCUUGUGCUUUGCUUAUUUACUUUUCCGUUGCUACUGUUAAAAUUACUACAAAACUUUUAUCUUUGCUUUUGCCACUGUUACCAUUACUAUCAUACUACUUUGCUACUAAAUACUUUGCUACAGAUACUAAGUUAUCCAGGUGUGGUUGAAUUGACAACUCAACUGCUAAUACUCAAUAAUAUUCUUUGGCUCCCCUUGUGUCGAAUCAAUAAAUUUGGGUUGAAUACUUUACCCACGAUAGUUGUUGCGAUCCCCUACACUUGUGGGUUAUCAAGACUAAUUUCUGGCGCCGUUGCUGGGGAGCAUAGCUCUAUUCUUUGAGUCACUUGGGAUUUAUAUCUGUUGAUCACUAUGAGGAACUUGAAAGAUGAAAGCACCAAGAUUUUGCCCUCAACUAUGAGGGGAGGUAAGGAACUGCCAUCUAGCUCUGCACUAGAUUCUCCUUCUGUUAUUAGUAAGCUUGCGACACCUAAACCUGCUACUACUAUGAAAUCUGAUAUGUCGCAUGUUAUUGAUGAUGCCACUUCUGCUGUGCAUGAUACUUAUGAUGAAACUACUUCUGUGCGUGAUACUACUUUGCCAUUAGGUGAAUUUCUUGAUGAACAACUUGCUAGGGUUAGAGAGAAUGAAAUCAUUGAAGAUCCUACUAUUGAUGAUAGUGAUGAUGAAAGUUCUCCCCCGGUUAUGAAUUACCUGUUGUUCCUGAGGGUUAUGUUAUGGAAGAGGAAGCUGCUAGAGCUAUCUUUGCCUGUAAAGAUAGAUAUGAUCUUAAGAAAUUAUUAGCUAAAUGGAAGCAGCAGUCUCUUAAUGCUAGAAUGAAACCUGACCCUGCUUUUGCUACUUCACCUAUCUGUGUUACUGAUAAGGAUUGUGAAUUCUCUAUUGAUCCUGAGAUUAUUACUUUGGUUGAAUCUGAUCCUUUUUAUGGCCUUGAAUCUGAAACUGUUGUGGCACAUCUUACCAAGUUAAAUGAUAUAGCCACCCUGUUUACUAAUGAUGAGAAGUCUCGCUAUUAUUAUAUACUUCAGAUAUUCCCAUUCUCAUUAAAGGGUGAUGCUAAGACUUGGUUUAAUUCUCUUGCUCCUGGUUGUGUGCGUAGUCCCCAGGAUAUGAUUUAUUACUUGUCUGCUAAAUAUUUCCCUGCUCAUAAGAAACAAGCUGCCCUACGGGAAAUAUAUAAUUUUUUGCAAAUCAAAGAAGAGAGUCUCCCACAAGCUUGAGGGAGGCUUCUCAAAUUACUUAAUGCUUUGCCUGAUCAUCCUCUUAAGAAAAAUGAAAUACUUGAUAUCUUUUAUAAUGGACUAACUGAUGCUUCCAAGGACUACUUCGAUAGUUGUGCUGGUUGUGUUUUCAGGGAAAGAACAGUCGACGAAGCUGAAUUACUACUGAAUAAUAUGUUGACUAAUGAAAAUAAUUGGACUCUUCCUGGGCCAAUUCCUGAGGCAAUUCCUGAAACAAUUGAGCCAACUCCUGAGCCUAUUCCUAAACCCACUCCGAAGAAGAGAUGUGUUCUAUUUCUCAGUCCUGAAGAUAUGCAAGAGGCAAAGAAAUCAAUGAAAGAAAAAGAUAUUAAAGCUGAAGAUGUUAAGAAUUUACCACCUAUUGAAGAAAUACAUGGUCUUAAUAUACCACCUAUUGAAGAACCACAUUGUCUUGAUAACCCAACACAGGUAGUAAAGGUAAAUUCUCUCCAUAGAUAUGACAAAGUUGAAAUUCCCUCUACUAAAUUUCAUAGCCCAUGCUUAUAUGAAUUUGAUGACUUUAUGGCUAGACAAGAAAGUUUUAAUGCUUAUGUUGGUGGAGAAUUAAAGAAUAAUGCUUUCGAGAUAGGACGCUUGAGUGAUUAUAUGGCUAAAGUUAAAGGUGAACUUAAACUCAUUAGCAAAUAUGCUUCUAUGGUUGCUACUCAAGCUGAGCAAGUACUUAAAGCUCAAAAUGAUUUGCUUGAUGAAUUAAAUAAUAAACCUGACUUUGCUGUUAGAGUGACUACUAGAACUGGUAGAAUGACUCAGGAACCUUUGUAUCCUGAAGGCCACCCUAAGACAAUCGAGCAAGAUUCUCAGAGAAAUAAUUUAGAGGCACCUAGUUCUUCCAAAAAGAAGAAAAAGAAAAAUGAUAGGACUUUGCAUGCUUCUAGUGAACCUACCGUAGACACACCUGAGAAUCCCAAUGAUAUUUCUAUCUCUAAUGCUGAAACUCAAUCAGGUGAUGAACAUGAACCUAGUGAUAAUGUUAAUGAGAAUGUUCCUGUUGAUGCUCAACCUAGCAAAAACAAUGAAGUAGAGAUUGAACAUGUUGUUGAUCUUGAUAACCCACAAUCAAAGAAUCAACAUUAUGAUAAGAGAGAUUUUGUUGCUAGGAAGCACAGUAGAGAAAGAGAACCAUGGGUUCAGAAACCCAUGCCCUUUCCUCCUAAACCAUCCAAGACAAAGGAUGAUGAGGAUUUUGAGCGCUUUGCUGAAAUGAUUAGACCUAUCUUCUUACGUAUGCGCUUAACUGAUAUGCUUAAAGUAAAUCCUUAUGCUAAGUAUAUGAAGGAUAUCAUUACAAACAAAAGAAAGAUACCGGAAGCUGAAAUUUCCACCAUGCCUGCUAAUUAUACUUUUAAGGGUGGAAUACCAAAGAAACUUGGAGAUUGGGGGGUACUAACUAUACCAUGCUCCAUUAAAAGAAAUUAUGUUAGAACUGCUAUAUGUGAUCUUGGAGCCGGUGUUAGUGUUAUGCCUCUCUCUUUAUAUAGUAGACUUGAAUUGAAUAAGUUGACACCUACUGAAAUAUCUUUGCAAAUGGCUGAUAAAUCAACUGCUAUACCUGUCGGUAUUUGUGAGGAUGUGCCUGUUGUGGUUGCAAAUGUCACUAUCUUAACGGACUUUGUUAUUCUUGAUAUUCCCGAGGACGAUAGUAUGUUGAUUAUCCUUGGUAGACCCUUUUUGAAUACUACAGGGGCUGUUAUUGAUUGCAACAAAGGCAAUGUCACUUUUCAUGUUAAUGGUAAUGAGCAUACGGUACACUUUCCGAGGAAACAAUCUCAAGUUCAUAGCAUCAAUUCUAUUGGAAAAGUUCCAACUAUCGUUAUUGGAGGUUUUGAAUUUCCUCUCCCUACUGUCAAGAAAAAGUAUGGUAUUCUUAUUGUUGGGGAUGUUCAUAUCCCCGUUGAGGUAACUUAGUGUUAUUCAAAAUUUCUCCGGUUCCGUGUUAUUCGGAAUGAGUUUGUUAACAAGACUUGAUCAACCUUCUUAGUGGAUUCAUUUUGAUGAUCAUGAGAUGGAUGAAACUAGAAGGCACAACCUUCUGUACCCUCUUUUUACUUUCUGUUAUUUAGAAUAAAUAAAGCAAAAAUAGUAUUAUCCGUGCAAUAAAAAAUAGGGCCAUUGGCAUUUCUGCCCCUAACUCGAACCACCUACUCAGAUUUGCCCCUAAUUUCAAAGCAUGCUCAAAUUUGCCCCUCUGCUGUUAAGUCACUACUCAGAAAUGCCCUUUCGUCCAGUCAAAGGCCUUUGACCGUCAAAGGCCCGUGUGUACUGUAGCAGACGGAAAGUGCUACAGUAUUGGACGGAAAGUGCUACAGUACUGUACGAAAGGGCAUUUCUGAGUAGUGACUUAACAGCAGAGGGGUAAAUUUGAGCAUGCUUCAAAAUUAGUGGCAAAUCUGAGUAGUGGGUUCGAGUUAGGGGCACAUAUGUAAAUGUCCCUAAAAAAUAACCCGAAAAUAAAAGUGCUCCAAAUGCCCUGCAAAUUUAGUAUGAUUUUUUAGGAAAAUUUGAGGAUUUUAGUCACUUUAUCACUGCAUGAGGGGCAAGCACCAGGGCACGAGAGUGGAGGGCACUCCCACACCCCCUGGGCACGCCCCUGUCUCGUGGGCCCCUGCUGGCCCCCCUCCACUUAUGCCAGCACCCACACACUCCAUCUUCUUCCCAAAAAAAUCCCCAUCCAGCUCAAGCGCGAGUUCUAACUAAUUUUGCUGCGAUUUUCGAUCUCCUUGCUCAAAGCUCCAUUCACAAAACUGCUUUGGGAGAUUGUUGCUUGGUAUGUGACUCCUCCAUUGGUCCAAUUAGUUUUUGUUAUAGUGCUUUAUUCAUUGCAAAUUUUUGCUGCAUAGGUGACCAUGUUCUUGAGCUUGCAUGUUAAAUGUAUGAGGUUCAAAGUAAUUCUAAUGCAUGAUGUAGGCUCUAGGCAACAAGCUAAAGAGAAGGAAAAGGCUAAGUAUAAUCUUCCUCGCAUAGCGGAAGUACGGCCGUGUGAAUGGCCAUGCGAUAAUUUCUUGAGAGAAGCUGGAAUUUAUGAAGAUUUUUAUUAUUUGAUCGAGAAUGCAGGUAUCACUGAUUUCCUCCACGACCGGAUCGAUCAGUAUCUCUUACUCACCAAUACUUUCGUGCAAAACUUGUAUUAUUAUCCUAAGAAGUCACCGCCUUCAGUAUCAUUUCAUUUAUAUGAUGAAUUCAGGGAAAUGUCUUUACGUAAUUUUUGCACAUUAUGUAGGAUACCCUUUGAGGGAAAAUUAGAGGAACCACAUCGUAGAGAUGUGGAUGGCUUUGUUAACACUAUCACUGUAGGGGAUCCAAAGAAGGGUUCCGAUGUGAGAAUUUCUAGCAUACACUUUCCUGUUUUACGCUACUUUGCCAUAUUUGCUUGUAGAUGCUUGAUUGGUCGUGGAAAUAGUGGAAACUUCAAUGUUCCUGAUAUUAUCAUUCUUCACCAUGCCUUGUUUGGAGAUAAUAGUUUUAGUAUGGGUGUCGUUAUUGCUAAACGGCUAAGCCUGAAUCAUACAAAAGGCCCCAUCUUUGGAGGUAUCUAUGAUGCACUUCUUGCUAGACAUUUUAAGAUACCUAUUAGGCACCAUGAGAAAGAGGAGACAAAAUUGCCUCCUUACAUUUUAGAUUACAAGAGCAUGGUAGCACAUGAGUUCAUUGUUGACAACAAAGAUAAGACGCUCUUGUAGAACCUGAGAUUUAAUAAGAAACACAGUGAGACUAUUAUUUUGCCUGCGCCUCUGUUGUUUGAUUUGAUUGCAGAUAAUUUUCUUGUCACACCGGAAGUGGUGUGCGCUCAUCGAGGCCAAGCAUCCACUCCAGAACCUGAGCCUGAGCCGGAACCUGCACUGGACCCUUAUCGUGCAUCAUCUUACCAGUGGGACCCGGAGAUGGCCAGCCAGUGGUAUCCUGAUUACACCUCCCAGUACACCGGUGAUAGUACCGGCAGUCCUUGGCAAUAAACCAACUUAGGCCAAAAGCCUAAGCUUGGGGGAGUACGUAUUUCUCACCGACUUUACAUUCAUGUUCAUACACUAUUCUAGUCGUCAGUGCUCAUACUCUUUCAUUGUAUUACUCAUGCUAGUUUAAUUUUCUUUUUCUCACUUUCUUCUUGUGUGUUUGUUAAACCUUGAGAAAAAACAAAAAAAAUUAGUUAGUUUAAUUUCCAUGCUUGUAGUAGAAAUUAAAAUGAAAACCCAAAAAGAUUUCUCUUUCUUCUUUACUUGUUGGGAGCUUUCCCAUGUAAAUUGUUUUAUUUUUCUUUCCUUUGGGGGUCGAGAGUAGAAGACCAUAUUGAAAAUGUUCAGUGGCUCUCAUAUGCAUGAUUGUUUAUUUAACUUAGUGCCCAUAUUACUUUGUCUUCUCUCUUGAAUUGAAUGCUUGCAGAUUCCAUCUUAGUCCAAUGCACGUGCACUAUUAUUAUUAUACACAUUGUUCGGUCGUGCAAGUGAAAGGCAAUAAUGACGAUAUAUGAUGGACUAAUUGAGAUGAGAAAAGCUGGUAUGAACUCGACCUCUCUUGUUUUUGUAAAUAUGAUGAGUUCAUCGUUCCCGAUUCACCUUAUUAUGAAGUAAACAUAUUUGCAAUGACAUUUAGAGAUUAUAGUUGCUUGUGCCAUGCUUGAUUAGCUAUGAGUUAUAAUGGUUUACCUUGCGUGCCAACAUGCUAUUAGAAUGAUUAUGAUGUGGUAUGAUGGGAUGGUAUCCUCCUUUGAAUGAAUUGAGUGACUCGACUUGGCACAUGUUCACACAUGUAGUUGAAACAAAUCAACAUAGCCUUCAUGAUAUUUAUGUUCAUGGUAGAUUAUAUCCUACUGAUGCUUGUACUCGGUGUGAAUUAAUUUUAAUGCAUGUUUAUGACUGUUGUCGCUCUCUCAGUUGGUCGCUUCCCAGUCUUUUGCUAGCCUUCACCUGUACUAAGCAGGAAUACUGCUUGUGCAUCAAAACUCCUUAAACCCCAAAGUUGUUCCAAUGAGUCCACCCUACUUUCCUAUAUGCGGUAUUUACCUGUCGUUCCAAGCAAAUUUGUAUGUGCCAAACUCCAAACCUUCAAAUGAAAUUCUCUUUUGUAUGCUCGAGCAGCUCAUGUUUCAACUAGGGCUGCCUAUAUCUUCCAUGCUAGGUGGAUUAUUCUCAAGAGGAGUGGACUCCGCUCCUCAUUCACGAGAAAGGGCCGGUAACCGGGAUGCCCAGUCCCAUGAUCCAAAAAGAUCAAAGCAAAUCAAAUUAAUUAAACAAAACUCUCCCAGAGCUGUUGUUAGUUGGAGGCACUCGUUGUUUCGAGCAAGCCAUGGAUUAAUGCUUGUUGGUGGUGGGGGAGUAUAAACUUUUACCAUUCUGUUUGGCAACUACCUAUAAUGCAUGUAGUAUGGAAGAUACAACCAUCUCAUAGUUGUUGCGUUGACAGCAAAAGUAUGCCGCUCAAAUAUUAUUCAAUCUCUAUUUUAAAAUCGAGCUCUGGCACCUCUACAAAUCCCUGCUUCCCUCUGCGAAGGGCCUAUCUAUUUACUUUUAUGUUGAGUCAUCACCCUUCUUAUUAAAAAGCACCCGCUGGAGAGCACACUGUCAUUUGCAUUCAUUACUAUUGGUUUAUAUUGGGCAUGACUUGACUGGAUCUCUUUUACCAUGAAUUACAAUGUCUAGUCAGUCCUUGAUCUUUAAAGGUGCUCUGCAUUUAUGCUUUGCGGCCUCAGAAAGGGCUAGCGAGAUACCAUUUUGUUAUAUCAUAUUAUGAUUGUUUUGAGAAAGUGUUGUCAUCCGAGUUUUUAUUAUUAUGGCUCGCUAGCUGAUUAUGCCAUUGAUAUGAGUAAUUGUGAGACCUAGGUGUUAUUGUGAGUAUGGUUAGUUCGUAAUACUUGCUGAAACCUGAAUGCUGGCUUUGCAUGUUUACAACAACAAGAGCAAAUAGAGUUUGUAAAAGUUUUUCUUUAUCACUUUUAGUUUAUCAACUGAAUUGCUUGAGGACAAGCAAAGGUUUAAGCUUGGGGGAGUUGCUACGUCUCCAACGUAUCUACUUUUCCAAACACUUUUGCCCUUGUUUUGGACUCUAACUUGCAUGAUUUGAAUGAAACUAACCCGGACUAACGCUGUUUUCAGCAGAACUACCAUGAUGUUGUUUUAUGUGUAGAAAACAAAAGUUACAAAAGUUCUCGAAUGACCUGAAAAUCCACAGAUGCAAGUUUUGGAAAAUAUAAAAAAUACUGGCGAAAGAAUCAACACCAGGGGGCCCACACCCUGUCCACGAGGGUGGGGGGCGUGCCCACCCCCCGGGCGCGGCCCCCUCUCUCGUGGGCCCCCUGACACUCCACCGACCUCAACUCCAACUCCAUAUAUUCCGUUUCGUGGAGAGAAAAAUCAAAGAGAAAGUUUCAUCGCAUUUUAUGACACGGAGUCGCCGCCAAGCCCUAAUCUCUCUCGGGAGGGCUGAUCUAGAGUCUGUUCAGGGCUCCGGAGAGGGGGAUUCAUCGCCGUCGUCAUCAUCAACCACCCUCCAUCACCAAUUUCAUGAUGCUCACCACAGUGCGUGAGUAAUUCCAUCGUAGGCUUGCCAGAUGGUGAUGGGUUGGAUGAGAUUUACCAUGUAAUCAAGUUAGUUUUGUUAGGGUUUGAUCCCUAGUAUCCACUAUGUUCUGAGAUUGAUGUUGCUAUGACUUUGCUAUGCUUAAUGCUUGUCACUAGGGCCCGAGUGCCAUGAUUUCAGAUCUGAACCUAUUACGUGUUCAUGAAUAUAUGUGUGUUCUUGAUCCUAUCUUGCAAGUCUAUAGUCACCUAUUAUGUGUUAUGAUCCGACAACCCCGAAGUGACAAUAAUCGGGAUACUUCUCGGUGAUGACCAUAGUUUGAGGAGUUCAUGUAUUCACUAUGUGCUAAUGCUUUGUUCCGGUUCUCUAUUGAAAGGAGGCCUUAAUAUCCCUUAGUUUCCACUAGGACCCCGCUGCCACGGGAGGGUAGGACAAAAGAUGCCAUGCAAGUUCUUUUCCAUAAGCACGUAUGACUAUAUUCGGAAUACAUGCCUACAUUACAUUGAUGAAUUGGAGCUAGUUCUAUGUCACCCUAUGUUAUAGCUAUUACAUGAGGAAUCGCAUCCGACAUAAUUAUCCAUCACUGAUCCAAUGCCUACGAGCUUUUCACAUCUUGUGCUUUGCUUAUUUACUUUUCCGUCGCUACUGUUACAAUUACUACAAAACUAUUAUCUUUGCUUUUGCCAUUGUUACCAUUACUAUCAUACUACUUUGCUACUAAAUACUUUGCUGCAGAUACUAAGUUAUCCAGGUGUGGUUGAAUUGACAACUCAACUUCUAAUACUCAAUAAUAUUCUUUGGCUCCCCUUGUGUCGAAUCAAUAAAUUGGGUUGAAUACUUUACCCUCGAAAGUUAUUGCGAUCCCCUACACUUGUGGGUUGUUAGUGGGUCGCCGCCAUGAACUUGGCAAGCACAGGAUACCCCAGUAUGGCGUUGUACGGGAGGCCAAUGUGGGCCACGUCAAAGUCGGCGAGCUCCAUGUGGUAGUUGUUGCAGGUGCCGAAGGUGACGGGGAGGCGCACUUGCCCCAUGGGAAUAGUGGAUCCAUCCAUCACCCCGAAGAAGGGCCUGGUCCGCAUCAGCUGGUCAUAGGGUACCUGGAGUGUUUCGAAGGUCAUGAUGGAGAUCACGUUGAGGCCAGCACCCCCUGAGAGAGUCCUGGACUAAGGGGUCCUCGAGCAUCCGGUCUAUUCAGUAUGGGCUGGACUAAUGGGCUGUAAAAAUGAAGGAAGAAGGCCACCUCCCGUGUCCGGUUAGGAUUCCCGUAUGCGUGAACGACAAGAUUAAGUGUCUGGAUAUGCUAUUUCCUUUAUCUAUAAACCGCCUCUAUACAACCCUAGGCCCCUCCGGUGUCUAUAUAAACCGGAGGGCUUAGACCGGAGGGAGGAUCAUAACAUUCAUAGGCUAGACAAUCUUGGGUUUAGCCAUUACGAUCUCGAGGUAGAUAACCUCUUGUAACCCCUAUACCUAUCAAAUACAAUCAAGCAGGACAUAGGGUUUUACCUUCUUUAAGAGGGCCCAAACCUAGAUAAAUAUUGUGUCCCUUUAUCCAUUGUUACCAUUGAUCCUUAGACACACAGCUUGGGCCCCCCUACCCAAGAUCUGCUGGUUUUGACACUGACAUUGGUGCUUUCAUUGAGAGCUCCGCUGUAUUGUCAACGGAAGGAUUGAUGGUGCGCCUCUUCAUCCACAAUGAUAUUGUGUCCAGGGAGACUUUUCUUCCCGGACAGGUCUUUGUGUUCGGCAGCUUCGUGCUACGUGCCAACUCGACCGGUCGCCUCGAGCAGGUCGACAGCUACGCCCCUGGUCACCAGAUCAGGUUCGGGAACUUGAACUAUGUCGCAGAUAUCCGAGGGGAUCUAAUCUUCAAGGGAUUCGCAGCCUCGACGGAUGCUCUCCACCCUCAUAAAGAGGGCCCUUCGGAUCCGCUAUCAGAUCCCAUCGAGGGGCCAAUGCUCACACUUGCAUCGGCCUUAGAUCUAGGGUAGAUCGCGUUUUCCAAUGACGAGGGGAUCGACCCCGCCGGACUCUCUCCUACCAUGGAACUCUCAGCUGGAGACCUAGAUGCGAUCGCGCCAUUGGUAAGCCCGGAAUCAAAUGGGACUCUCCCAGUCAUAAAAGAGCCGGACUCACCUCCGGAGGAUAACUCUGAAUUGCUGAGGUCAGCAUCCCCCAGACUCAAUCAAGUGUCUGGCCCCACAGAUCCAUAGACUCCCAUCCAGCUUUUGCUAUUAGAUGAAGCAUUGGGCUUAAUGCAAUCUCUUGUUGUUACGGAAGCCUCGCCUCUGAACUACACCCAGCACGGGCUGGGGGCUGAGGUCGAGGAAUUUUUCACCCCACCCACCACCCACUUAAUAGCCACUGCCGAGGAUUUAACCGACAUGCUAUACUACACCUUGGAAGACAUCGACGACAAGGACAAUGAUGUCGACGCUGAGAAAAGCCAAAACCCGCCUAUUACAGGGCGUUGGACGGCCACUUCUACCUACGAUGUAUACAUGGUGGACACUCCUGACGAAAACAACAACGAUGUCGUUCAAGAUCCAGGCAUGGACAAUGUCGGAUUUCGGGUUCCGGCAGACCCUUGAGGUUCGAACUCUGGGGUGCGUGCGGAGAUUCAACCCUCUGCCUACUUGCUUGUAACACCCCGGAUACAACUUUCCAUAUUCGUAACUCCAACUCUUGCCUUUUCCGGAGAUGCGAUAUGAUAUUUCCUUCGUGGUUGGGUUUUGUCUUUUGUUUUGCAGUUUGUUCAUGUCAUGCAUUUCAUCUCAUAGCAUCAUGCGCUUUGCAUCGACUUUGUUUUCAUAAAACUUGCAUCCGCUCGUAGUUGCCGUGCCCCCCCUUGCUUUUGUUGGCCGUUCCGAGACCAACCGGGUUUUUCCAUUCCAUCUUGUCAAACCACCUAACCCCUCUCACCCCCCUCUUCCGUGCGUCCGAAAAACUUGCCCGAACCCGAACCAGGUCUGUCGUCAUAGUUGGAUCCGGAUCAUCCCCAAACAUCUAUAAAACAUCUCCGUUUUCUUUGUUGGACUCUCCUAAGCUAUAUUUCUCGACCGUUCGAUUUUGAUCGGAGGGUUCGAUUAAACCCCUAAGCAAAACCCACUUGCUAUAUAAAUAGUCUAACCCUGAUUUUUAGGAGAGCAGUCCCAUCCUUCCUAUUCCGCGCCACCACUCCACCGAGUCCCCCUCGGGAUCUCCCCUCCCGAUCCCCCAACCAACCACAAGCUUGCUCCUUCCUCCUUCCUCGUUUUCCCUAGCCGGCCAAUCCCCACCGGAGCUCCCUCCGCCUACGAGCACCACUAGCAGAUGAGUGCCCCGAGAUCCCUGCUCCCUUUCCCUCCUGAUUCUAUCUCUCUCCCUCUCAUUCCUCUGUCUCUCUGUUGUUCGAACAGGAGCCCCAUGACGUCGCCAUGGAUGGCUGCAGCCCGAGCUCAUCCGUCCCCGCAAACAAAAGCAUCUCGCGCGUCUCCGGCGACUAGGCGCCAUUUCCGCCCCAAGCUCUGCUCCUCCCUUGCCUCUGCUCCAUCGGGAGAAGACCACGCCAGCCUCCUCUCGCCCCGAGGGGCUCCCCGAGCACCUCGUCCCCGACGCCGGCAAAUUCGCCGCCGCCAAGACCUUGCCUCGCCAGAUUCACCUCCUCCGCCAAGGGCCCCGACGACCAAGACCCUCCCCGUCGUGCAGCCCUUCACCGGAGUCCCAGCCGCAUCAGGCCGCCGCUGCGUCCCCUGCUUCUCGUCGCGCCGGCCUCCGCUUCCUCUUCGUCGGGCAGGGACUCGCUUGUUCCAGCAAGGUUCUAGCGCCAUGGCCUUCCCCACCUCUGCCCGAGCGCCUCCAGGACCUCGUCUGCCCCGCCGCGUCGCCGAAUCCGGCCACCAGGACCCUCCAGCGCCGCCGCUUCCUUCCUCCUGUUGUCGUGCCCCUUCCUCCUCUACUUCGAGGAUGAGCCAGGCGCCCGCGUUGACUUCUCGUCGCGAGGCCUCCUCCUCUGCUCCCGCACCUGAGCCCCCGAGCUCCUUCAGCUCGACCCCACCCACCGAGCUCCCUGCCGCGCCGGAGUCCCGCUGCGCCUCUGCUUCCCCUGCAUCACCCCCUGCCUUCUACCUCGUCCUCCUCCGAGCAGAGAACGAGCGCACGUUGCCGCCGCGCGUUGACCCGCGCCUGGGUCGCAUCCAGCACGCCAAGGCCCAGCGCCUCUACAUCCCCCAGCCGGUCCAUGAGGCCCAAUGUGAGCCGCUCCCCUAGCCCCUCCAGUUUCGGUCCAUAACCUGUUUUUUUCUGUCCAGCGAUUUUGCCAUUUAUCCCGGAUUUACAGUUUUACAGAAAAGCCCUUGCACAUCAUGCAUGUAAUAACUCAUUAACCGUGCAUCGGAUUAAAAUGAUUUAGACAUGUAAAAUGCUUAGAAUUGUAUCUAGUUUCAUAAUGUGCAACUUUCAUCCAUGUUUAAAAUUUUUAAAUUGCUGUUUGAUUAAAUUUGCAUAAAUGCCAUGCUAAAAUGAUUUAUUUCAUAACUAAAUAACCGUUGCUCCGAUUUUAAUAAAAUUUAUAUGUAAAUGGGGUGGAAAAAUGCCUAGUUUAACUUGGUGCACUUUGUUUCAUUGUUUCACAACAUUAAAAUAUGUUUUAGCCCAGAACAGUACCAAAUUUGAAUAUUGCUCAUGAGGAUUUUCCGGAAUUGUUGUUUGUUGUUCCGGCCUCAUUUAAACUUGCCUAAAUAGUUAGUUUACUUUUGUUACACCCCUUGCCAUGUUUAACAACAUUGAAUAUUGUUGUGUACCUAAACGAGAGCGAACUAAAUAACUCGAAUGUGGUGUUUUGUCAAUAUGCAACUCGUUGCAUAUUGAGCUCCACUUAACUUGUAGUAUUGCUUGUUGCACUUUGCCAUGCCAUGCCUCUUUAAACUGGACAUGCAUCAUACUUGAUUGUGCAUCAUGCCAUGUUUAUGCUUGUGCAUUUACCAUGUUGUUUGUUUUUUCCGGUGUUGCUUCUUAGUUCCGGUAAUGUUGCGAUUGUGAGGAUUCGUUCGACUACUCCCGUUCGUCUUCUUCGUGGACUCGUUCUUCUUCCUAGCGGGAUUUCAGGCAAGAUGACCGCUACCCUGGAUCACAUUACUAUCAUUGCCAUGCUAAUUGCUUUGUUCUAUCGCUAUGUUGCGCUACCUAUCAUCUUGUUCUAUCGAGCCUCCCAAAUUGCCAUGUCAGCCUCUAACCUUUUUCACCCUUCCUAGCAAACCGUUGCUUGGCUAUGUUACUGCUUUGCUCAGCCCCUCUUAUAGCGUUGCUAGUUGCAGGUGAAGUUGAAGAUUGCCCCAUGGUGGACAGGAUUAUGUUGGGAUAUCACGAUAUCUAUUAUUUAAUUAAUGCAUCUAUAUAUUUGGUAAAGGGUGGAAGGCUCGGCCUUAUGCCUGGUGUUUUGUUCCACUCUUACUGCCCUAGUUUCCGUCAUACCGGUGUUAUGUUCCCGGAUUUUGCGUUCCUAACGCGGUCGGGUGAUUUAUGGGACCCCUUGACAGUUCGCUUUGAAUAAAACUCCUCCAGCAACGCCCAACCUUGGUUUUACCAUUUGCCUCACCUAGCCCUUUUUUCCCUUGGGUUUCCGGAGCCCGAGGGUCAUCUUUAUUUUACCCCCACCCGGGCCAGUGCUCCUUCGAGUGUUGGUCCAACCUGAGUGAUGUCCGGCGCCCCCUAGGCAACUAGGGUCUAUGCCAACCCGUCGUCUUGCUCAUCCGGUGUGCCCUGAGAACGAGAUAUGUGCAGCUCCUAUCGGGAUUUGUCGGCACAUCGGGCGGCUUUGCUGGUCUUGUUUUACCAUUGUCGAAAUGUCUUGUAAACCGGGAUUCCAAGACUGAUCGGGUCUUCCUGGGAGAAGGAAUAUCCUUCGUUGAUCGCGAGAGCUUAUCAUGGGCUAAGUUGGGACACCCCUGCAGGGUAUUAUCUUUCGAAAGCCGUGCCCGCAGUUAUGUGGCAGAUGGGAAUUUGUUAAUGUCCGGUUGUAGAUAACUUGACACCAGAUCCGAAUUAAAACGCAUCAACCGUGUGUGUAGCCGUGAUGGUCUCUUCUUGGCGGAGUCCAGGAAGUGAACACGGUUUUUGGGUUAUGUUUGACGUAAGUAGGAGUUCAGGAUCACCUCUUGAUCAUUUCUAGCUUCACGACCGUUCCUUUGCUUCUCUUCUCGCUCUCAUUUGCGUAUGUUAGCCACCAUAUAUGCUUAGUCGCUGCUGCAACCUCACCACUUUACCCCUUCCUGUCCCAUUAAGCUUUGCUAGUCUUGAUACCCAUGGUAAUGGGAUUGCUGAGUCCUCGUGGCUCACAGAUUACUACAACAACAGUUGCAGGUACAGGUUAUGCGAUGAUCAUGACGCGAGAGCGACGUUUGCUUGUUUUGGAGUUCUUCUUCUGCUUCUUCUUUGAUCAGGGGAUAGGUUCCAGGUCAGCAGCCUGGGCUAGCAGGGUGGAUAUUGUUUGAGCUUCUGUUUGUGUUUCAUCCGUAGUCGGAUGGUGCUCUUAUGUAAGAUCAUGUUUUAUUUGUGUGACAUUGUAUGCCUUUUGUAUGUAUCCCCAUCUAUUAUGUAAUGUUGAUGUAAUGAUAUACACCUUGCAAAAGCGUCUUCAAGAUGCGCUUCUAUCCUUGGUGGGACCUUCGAGUUCCUUUAGGAUAGGGUCGCAUCUUGGGCGUGACAAGUUGGUAUUAGAGCCUCGACCGACCAUAGGAGCCCCUUGAUUGUUGGCCGUUGUUGAGUCUAGAAAAAAAACUAUUUUGAGUCUUAGGAUUAUAUAUAUAUCGGAGAGUAGGAUUCUUUUUACUCCUCAGUCCCUUCGUCGCUCUGGUGAGGUCUCCUGACGUAGAUGUUUUGUCUUUCCUCUCCUCAAAUUUCACUAAAAAAAUUUAGGAUCACGCGGGUAUCUUGGGAUCGUUCCGAUAUUCUUAUGACAAGAACAUUGUUCUUGGUGCCUCCUGACAUUUAGGGGUUGUGGCAGUGUCCCGGGGAGUUGAGCUCCGAGGUGUUGUCGUCAUAAUUUUAUCAUUGCAGUUCUGGAAUACCUGAGUUUUGCCGACAUCGAAAAUCUCUUUUAUGCAGUUGUUGGUGAGAUAACCUCGACGCCACCCAGUACUGGGGAGUUCGGGAGUAUUGCCAUAGCUCGUAUAACGGAUGCUUUUCGAAGGUUGAGGUACACAAUUUCCGAAGGUUUCUUGGUUAUGUGUUGACGGAUGGAUACAGCUUGGAUGUAGGUAUUGUUAGUUUGGGUGAGAUAUAUUGCUUCCCCUGUAUCCCCAACACCAGAUUGCAUAACCAGAAAGUUUCAGGAGUUUAUAGGUGGGAAUUCAAGUAGCACCUAGAAUAUCUUUCCGACAAAUGCAUGAUAUGGGAUUGGGUAAAUCUCUAUCAUAUGUAUUUGUUCCGGCUUAUUUUGCAAGCCAAAUCCUUUGUUUUGUUUUUAUUUGUGGUAUUCGAGUUGCUUCAAUGUCAAGUGUUGAUUCCAUACCUUUCCUAACCGGUGUUCUCAUAUUUCUAUGAGAGUGGUAACCCUUCUUGAUCAUCGAGAUUGUCAUGUCAAUUCUUUCCAACCGGUGUGCUUCUCUUCAAGUGGAUCCGAUCAUUUCAACAUUUGUGAGAUCAAUUCUAAGUUUUCUCAAUGGUGUUUGUUCCAUCUUCCCCAAGUUGUCUUUGUUUUUCCCCACCCUCCCACCCUUUUCUUCAAGGACUCAUUUAUUUUAAUCAAGUAUCCAUUUAUUCAUGUGAAGUCACUUCACUCUUUUCAAUCAAUGUUCUGAUUCGGUGAUCCCUCGUGAAGAUACUCACGAGCUUCAAGUUCAUCAUCCUUCGUUCUUUCUUGCUUCUCCGGUGGAUCCUAUUCAAGCUUUCAGUGUUGAUCAUAUUCCUUUCCUCAUGUCAAAUGCUUUCUCAUGCCAGUACACCUCUCAAUCACUCACCUCUUGCUAUUCAUUUGUUCCAGAGUGUUGAAGAUAUCUCAGAAGAUUCGUGUUUCUAUUCUCAAUCUGUUCAAGUUAUUCCGAGGUUGUUAUCUCAUUCAAGCCAUUUAAUUCAAUCAGUGCAACCUCUCUUUAAAAUCCUUCAACAAUGUUUCUUUCAAGUGGGCCCUAACCCACAGGUCUUUUCCCAGGAUCUUACCUAACUCUUCUAAUUCUCCCGGAGUUAUUCUCAAAUUCCUUUUAAGUGUGACGUAAGAAUGGAUCCCAUCAGUCACAUGCCUUCUCCAAGAUCUCGUUCAAAUUAUUUUCAUUGUUGGCUCAACCUUUUCAGUUUUUUUUCAUUCUCCCGGAGUAUCUCAGCAAUUUUGGUGUUGUUUCUCCUCGUCAUUCUCGGAUUUUGAAGACCGAAGAAGAGUUCCUCUUAAAUCCUUACCCGUUCUUCCAAAUAUGCGUAGUUCAAGUUUGAUGCCAUCCUCUCAUAAUUGUUUUCGAUUGUGGGAAUUCUUUUCACCCAUCCGGAGCAUUUCAUGAGUUGUUUCCAUUUCUUUCCUCUGAAGGCCAUCAUGUAAUAAUUCUUCAUUCUCAGCGUGUAGCUACCGUUCUCCAAAUCUUACCGGUGCAUCAUUCAAGUAUUCUCUAAUAAGCUCAUGAUCUCUUUGUUCACAUGUAUCUAAAUUCCCUCAAGUAUCUUCAUUCUUUCCGGUGAAUUGUGCCUUUGCUACUUUCAUUUUCAAUUCUUACGGUGGUUCGUUCGAGAUUCCUCUUCAUUUGCUACCGUAUCAUUUCAUUCGUUGUUUCCAAAUCCCACUGGUGGUUCCAGCAAUACCUUCUCAAGUUUGCGCUAUCUCUAUCCUUAUUCCCUCAAGAAGAAUAAGUAGUAUGCCAAAUCCGUUGCUUGUCAUCAAUUAAAUUGGUGAAGGGUACGCAUAACAUAAUUCUUAUUAUUGUUUCAAGUGAUCUAGUUUCUUCUUUCCAUCGUUGUUCAUCAUGUCACAUUUCUCGGUUCGAGAUGCUCCAUCUUUUCUUUUCCGAAGUUCCAAGUUUUCCGCAUUAUCUCAUCGCGAAGCUCCUUCUAAAUCAUCACAAGGCUUCACCUUGUGUUUUCAACUUCUCUUUCUUUUUAUCACCCUUUUAUUACCGGAGUUCUUCAUGGAGGCUCAACACGGUGGUUCGUCAAGGAUUCUUUUCAGCUAUACUCUAAAAUAAACAUGGUGCUCAACACAUGUUUUGUUUUGAGGAGCUCAAGCAUUCUUCUUCUUGCAUUUCGAAGUGCAAUUCUUUCUACCUUAUCUUUUGAGGUGGUGUUAUGUCACUCUUCACAAUUUCCUUCAUGUUUCAUGAUUCAUAUGUUGUCAAGAAUGAGGUAUUUUAAAUCCAUCAACCUCGUUGUUGGAGUUAUCUUGUGUCAUAUUUCACCUUAAGCCUUCCCUAAGGAAUGUUGCUAUUUAUGGUGCUUAUAAAUGACCCCAAGUUCUUCAUUUAUCCUCCCGGUGAAAUAAGUCUCUCGUCUCUUUGUUGACCUCAAUCCAAUAUAUUGUUUCUGUUAGUGGCAGAAUUUCACCUCAUAAUUUUGAGACGUUUUCCAUAAGCCCACUGCAAGCUUAUUCGUUUCGUUGUGGGUUUUUCCAACAACUCCAUUUUAACCUUCCUGGAAGGGUGCUUUCCAAGCUCAUUUGUGGCAGAAGUUGCAUUUUCUCCUACAUUCUGUUAUUCCAAUGAUCUAUCUUCUAUUCUUUCUUUCGAAGGCAUUGUGAUGUUGCUCUUUUCACUCAUCAUCUCGAAUUGUGAGGAUUGUGUUCUUUUCAUGCUUAUCCAUUUAACCGGAGUGUUGUGUCAUCUCUUCAAGUUCUUUCAUCUUAUCAAGUUUUGCCCCCUUCUCAACCGGAGUGUUGUCUGAAAUCUUUCUUACCCCUUGUGCCAUUCUUUCAAUAGUUCCGGAGGCAGUGUGUUGUUGAUUUCAUCAAGUAUCCUCUCAUCUUGUCAAGUUCAUGUUCAAUUCCUUCCAUUUUCAGUCGGAGUGCUGCCCAAAUUAUAUCAAUCUUAUUCCUUCUCUAUCUAGAUUUAACCGGAGUGGUUUCAAUAUCUAUCUUAUCACUAAACCUCUUGGUUCUCGUCGUAUCUCUUGUUCCUCUUUUCUAAUGGAGUGCUUUCAACAUUGUUCAUCUUCGUUGUUUUCUUUCUUUCACUUUGCUCAACCUCUCAAGGUUCAUGGUUUCACUCGUUUGUCGAACAAGCAACUUAGUUUACCUCUUAUCUUAAUCUUCCUUUUCCUCCGGUGCCAUCCUAGAUCUCGGGACGAGAUCCUCUCAUAGUGGUGGAGUGUUGUAACACCCCGAAUACAACUUUCCAUAUUCGUAACUCCAACUCUUGCCUUUUCCAGAGAUGCGAUAUGAUAUUUCCUUCGUGGUUGGGUUUUGUCUUUUGUUUUGCAGUUUGUUCAUGUCAUGCAUUUCAUCUCAUAGCAUCAUGCGCUUUGCAUCGACUUUGUUUUCAUAAAACUUGCAUCCGCUCGUAGUUGCUGUGCCGCCCCUUGCUUUUGUUGGCCGUUCCGAGACCAACCGGGUUUUUUCAUUCCCUCUUGUCAAACCACCUAACCCAUCUCACCCCCCUCUUCCAUGCGUCCGAAAAACUUGCCCGAACCCGAACCGGGUCUGUCGUCACCGUUGGAUCCGGAUCAUCCCCAAACAUCUAUAAAACAUCUCCGUUUUCUUUGUUGGACUCUCCUAAGCUAUAUUUCUCGACCGUUCGAUUUUGAUAGGAGGGUUCGAUUAACCCCCUAAGCAAAACCCACUUGCUAUAUAAAUAGUCUAACCCUAAUUUUUAGGACAGCUGUCCCAUCCUUCCUAUUCCGCGCCGCCACUCCACCGAGUCCCACUCGGGAUCUCCCCUCCCGAUCCCCCAACCAACCACCAGCUUGCUCCUUCCUCCUUCCUCGUUUUCCCCAGCCGGCCAAUCCCCAUCGGAGCUCCCUCCGCCUACGAGCACCACCAGCAGAUGAGUGCCCUGAGAUCCCUGCUCUCUUUCCCUCCUGCUUCUAUCUAUCUCCCUCUCAUUCCUCUAUCUCUCUGUUGUUUGAACAGGAGCCCCAUGACGUCGCCAUGGAUGGCUGCAGCCCGAGCUCGUCCGUCCCCGCAAACAAAAGCAUCUCACGCGUCUCCGGCGACUAGGCGCCAUCUCCGCCCCAAGCUCUGCUCCUCCCUUGCCUCUGCUCCAUCGGGAGAAGACCACGCCAGCCUCCUCUCGCCCCGAGGGGCUCCCCGAGCACCUCGUCCCCGACACCGGCAAAUUCGCCGCCGCCAAGACCUUGCCUCGCCAGAUUCACCUCCUCCGCCCAGGGCCCCGACCACCAAGACCCUCCCCGUCGCGCAGCCCUUCACCGGAGUCCCAGCCGCAUCAGGCCGCCGCUGCGUCCCCUGCUUCUCGUCGCGCCGGCCUCCGCUUCCUCUUCGUCGGGCAGGGACUCGCUCGUUCCAGCAAGGUUCCAGCGCCAUGGCCUUCCCCACCUCUGCCUGAGCGCCACCAGGACCUCGUCUGCCCCGCCGCGUCGCCGAAUCCGGCCACCAGGACCCUCCAGCGCCGCCGCUUCCUUCCUCCUACUGUCGCGCCCCUUCCUCCUCUGCUUCGAGGAUGAGCCAGGCGCCCGCGUUGACUUCUCGUCGCGAGGCCUCCUCCUCUGCUCCUGCACCUGAGGCCCCGAGCUCCUUCAGCUCGACCCCGUCCGCCGAGCUCCCUGCCGCGCCGCAGUCCUGCCGCGCCUCUGCUUCCCCUGCAUCACCCCCUGCCUUCUGCCUCGUCCUCCUCCGAGCAGAGAACGAGUGCACGUUGUCGCCGCGCGUUGACCCGCGCCUGGGUCGCAUCCAGCACGCCAAGGCUCAGCGCCUCUACAUUCCCCAGCCGGUCCAUGAGGCCCAAUGUGAGCCGCUCCCCUAGCCCCUCCAGUUUUGGCCCAUAACCUGUUUUUUUCUGUCCAGCGAUUUUGCAAUUUAUCCCGGAUUUACAGUUUUACAGAAAAGCCCUUGCACAUCAUGCAUGUAAUAACUCAUUAACCGUGCAUCGGAUUAAAAUGAUUUAGACAUGUAAAAUGCUUAGAAUUGUAUCUAGUUUCAUAAUGUGCAACUUUCAUCCAUGUUUAAAAUGUUUAAAUUGCUGUUUGAUUAAAUUUGCAUAAAUGCCAUGCUAAAAAGAUUUAUUUCAUAACUAAAUAACCGUUGCUCCGAUUUUAAUAAACUUUAUAUGUAAAUGGGGUGGAAAAAUGCCUAGUUUAACUUGGUGCACUUUGUUUCGUUGUUUAACAACAUUAAAAUAUGUUUUAGGGCAGAACAGUACCAAAUUUGAAUAUUGCUCAUGAGGAUUUUCCGGAAUUGUUGUUUGUUGUUCCGGCCUCAUUUAAACUUGCCUAAAUAGUUAGUUUACUUUUGUUACACCCCUUGCCAUGUUUAACAACAUUGAAUAUUGUUGUGUACCUAAACGAGAGCGAACUAAAUAACUCGAAUGUGGUGUUUUGUCAAUAUGCAACUCGUUGCAUAUUGAGCUCCACUUAACUUGUAGUAUUGCUUGUUGCACUUUGCCAUGCCAUGCCUCUUUAAACCGGACAUGCAUAAUACUUGAUUGUGCAUCAUGCCAUGUUUAUGCUUGUGCAUUUACCAUGUUGUUUGUUUCUUUCCGGUGUUGCUUCUUAGUUCCGGUAAUGUUGCGAUUGUGAGGAUUCGUUCGACUACUCCCGUUCAUCUUCUUCGUGGACUCGUUCUUCUUCCUAGCGGGAUUUCAGGCAAGAUGACCGCUACCCUGGAUCUCAUUACUAUCAUUGCCAUGCUAAUUGCUUCGUUCUAUCGCUAUGCUGCGCUACCUAUCAUCUUGUUCUAUCGAGCCUCCCAAAUUGCCAUGUCAGCCUCUAACCUUUUUCACCCUUCCUAGCAAACCGUUGCUUGGCUAUGUUACCUCUUUGCUCAGCCCCUCUUAUAGCAUUGCUAGUUGCAGGUGAAGUUGAAGAUUGCCCCAUGGUGGACAGGAUUAUGUUGGGAUAUCACAAUAUCUAUUGUUUAAUUAAUGCAUCUAUAUAUUUGGUAAAGGGUGGAAGGCUCGGCCUUAUGCCUGGUGUUUUGUUCCACUCUUGCCGCCCUAGUUUCCGUCAUACCGGUGUUAUGUUCCCGGAUUUUGCGUUCCUAAUACGGUCGGGUGAUUUAUGGGACCCCCUUGACAGUUCGCUUUGAAUAAAACUCCUCUAGCAAGGCCCAACCUUGGUUUUACCAUUUGCCUCACCUAGCCCUUUUUUCCCUUGGGUUUCCGGAGCCCGAGGGUCAUCUUUAUUUUACCCCCUCGGGCCAGUGCUCCUUCGAGUGUUGGUCCAACCUGAGCGAUGUCCGGCGCUCCCUGGGCAACCAGGGUCUAUGCCAACCCGUCGUCUUGCUCAUCUGGUGUGCCCUGAGAACGAGAUAUGUGCAGCUCCUAUCGGGAUUUGUCGGCACAUCAGGCAGCUUUGCUGGUCUUGUUUUACCAUUUUCGAAAUGUCUUGUAAACCGGGAUUCCGAGACUGAUCGGGUCUUCCUGGGAGAAGGAAUAUCCUUCGUUGAUCGCGAGAGCUUAUCAUGGGCUAAGUUGGGACACCCCUGCAGGGUAUUAUCUUUCGAAAGCCGUGCCCGCGGUUAUGUGGCAGAUGGGAAUUUGUUAAUGUCCGGUUGUAGAUAACUUGACACCAGAUCCGAAUUGAAACGCAUCAACCGUGUGUGUAGCCGUGAUGGUCUCUUCUCGGCGGAGUCCGGGAAGUGAACACGGUUUUUGGGUUAUGUUUGACGUAAGUAGGAGUUCAGGAUCACCUCUUGAUCAUUUCUAGCUUCACGACCGUUCCUUUGCUUCGCUCUCAUUUGCGUAUGUUAGCCACCAUAUAUGCUUAGUCGCUGCUGCAACCUCACCACUUUACCCCUUCCUGUCCCAUUAAGCUUUGCUAGUCUUGAUACCCAUGGUAAUGGGAUUGCUGAGUCCUCGUGGCUCACAGAUUACUACAACAACAGUUGGAGGUACAGGUUAUGCGAUGAUCAUGAGGCGAGAGCGACGUUUGCUUGUUUUGAAGUUCUUCUUCUGCUUCUUCUUCGAUCAGGGGAUAGGUUCCAGGUCGGCGGCCUGGGCUAGCAGGGUGGAUAUUGUUUGAGCUUCUGUUUGUGUUUCAUCCGUAGUCGGAUGGUGCUCUUAUGUAAGAUGAUGUUGUAUUUGUGUGACAUUGUAUGCCUUUUGUAUGUAUUCCCAUCUAUUAUGUAAUGUUGAUGUAAUGAUAUCCACCUUGCAAAAGCGUCUUCAAGAUGCGCUUCUAUCCUUGGUGGGACCUUCGAGUUCCUUUAGGAUAGGGUCGCAUCUUGGGCGUGACAUUGCUCUUCGCCGAAUCGCUAGGACCUAAACUACCAAACAGAACAACACAAGAGACACAAGGUUUAUACUGGUUCAGGCCACCAUUGUGGUGUAAAACCCUACUCCAGUGUGUGGUGUGGUGAAUUGCCUCUCGGGCUGAUGAUGAACAAUACAAGGAAGAACAGCCUCGCGAGGGUCUGCUCUUGGCUGGUGCUACUUGGUUCUGACUCUUGGAUUCCUGAUCCGGUCUCUCUUCCCUUUUACCCAAGGGGUGGCUAGUCCUAUUUAUAGGCAAAGGCCCUGGGCCUCUUCCCUAAUAUUGAGCGGGAAGGGCGCCAACAAUUGGCCAUUUUGAAGGGGAACAGCGGGUACACUUAUCCUGACUACGUCCUCGUCUGCCAAAGGCUCUGGUGGUGACGCCUGUUUGGGCUCCACAAUGACUUCCUCCCGGCCGUUGGGCUGGUCUAGCUCUUCUUGCACCAAAACGGAUGCCUUUGCUUGAUGCUCUUGCCUGCGCUUGCUCCCUUUGCACCAAAGAGGAAAGGGAGGACACUGCGCUGGCUGGCGUCCGACUGGCGCCCUUGGUCGUCAUGGCUUGCGUCAUGGGCACCUCGCGAGGUACCCCGCCUUGAACUCUUCGCCUCCUCAUGAGCCUGCCUGAUGAGGUCGUGCCUAAGGAAGCUCCUUGUCGUCCGCCCCGCGAGGCUUGGCCCCUCGCGAGGGUCUUGAGCUUGUGUCGAUGAAGAUGGGCUGUGUUGGGCCUUCUUUGAGCCACGCCACAGGCCGCAGGCAGGCAAGUCUGGGGACCCCCGUUCCAGAAUGCCGACAGUACCUCCCGGGCCCAUGGCGCGCCCGGACUUGGCUGAGCAGAGAGGCGAAAGGGCAAGUGCGAAGCGUCACGGGACCUAACAGCCUGCGGCCUUGGGCACCGCGUGGCGGUUGAAAUUUUCAACGAGCACUACUAGGAACAUAAAUUUCCAACGAGCACUUAAAAACAUAAAACAUUACACAAAGAGAAGCACUGAACAGUGAAUGUGAAAAUGACUCCCACAUCCAUCAUAUACUGGGAGCUUCCACUCAAACUUACAGUACCAGAGAGUUUGUACUUCUCAAAAAUAACCACUAAAGUUCUUUUUGUGCAAUAAAUUUUUAGAGGUAUGAUAUUCACAGUAAAAAAUUCCACAAUAAUGUAACUGCAGAGGCUGUAAUUGGAUUUUUCUUCCAAUAAACAGUGGUGCUAUAAGUCACAUGUUACAGCUACAACAUACAAAACCAAAAAUUGUACAAAACUCAUACAUUUCAGACCAAAGAUUUUAGUGCAAAAACAGUAGAAAAUUAUACAUGGACCGAGUCCUUGUGUUUUCUUUCUUCAGUGUCCAGAUCAUACCGAAAAAACAUACACCUAACACAUGCACUGCACACACAAGUGCAAACUCUCAUAGUAGAUUUUGUUUUGCGAGCUCCUAGAGUUCUUGUGUUUUGAACUCCUCUGGUUGAACCUCCCAUUGAAAUAGAGUCUUUGCCAUAAUAUACAAUCUGCAACUGAGCAUCACAUGUGUGUUUAGUUUAAAUUCCAGGAAUUAUCACUAAGGAACAGUUCAAAAGCAACCACACACAAGUUCAACAGAAGCACAUGGCAAAAACUAUCUACAAAAGGUAGCACAGGCACAAAAGUUUAGUACUAGUAAGCUACAAUUAGACAAGUUUACAAUUAACCGAAGGUAACUGGAAACAUAAAUAUAGAUGCAAGUUCCAACUUCUUUCGUGAACUGAUGUGGAUGAGAUGUAACCCAAACCAAUAGGUGAUUUGCGAACUUAUGAGAAAUAAUUCUGUUAAACACCUAGCUUCAGUACAAUCAUCUAUGAAAAGUUAUCUAGCUCCAAAUUAUGACCUUGAAGAAUAAUUCUCAUAAGCAUUAGAACAAGCAUGUAGAAGAGUGUUGAGGGCACACAUAACUUUGGGGUAUUUCCUCAAGCUUCUGCACUUCUUUUUAAGUAGACAAAAAUGAUGAAAGGAAACACACUUUGUAAGAUGUAUUGAAAAAGCCUAAAAAGGUGAAGUGAAAUGUUUUGAACCUCCAAGAAGCCUCUCGACGAACUGAAACUUCGUGUAUCCCAGGAGGUUGACCUGCAGAGGAGCACGAACUAGAACAUUAAGCAUCAACUUCUACAACUUAUAUACAUAGGAAACGUGAAUUUCUACAUCUUGUUUUGAACUUCUAGUAAAAGAUCAAGUAUUCAUUAAACCAAACAAGGGUGAUGGGAGUUGAACAAGAUCCCUCAGCCUCAUCUCUAAACAUUACCCUUUAAUCUUCCUGAACUGAAUUCCUCUCAUCUAUGUACAUUGGCAAUGGACUACUCGUGCACAAGGAGAUGUACUGCUCUCCUGGGACAGAGGGGCGAAGUGUGUGCCUCCUGAGCUGCAGGGUCGAACUACUUCGGGUUGUGUCAUUGAACGACCCGGUGUGGCGGCGGUGAACGGUAUGGGAAGUGCGACGAUGAAGCCCCACCGGCAGUGGCAGGAGGCUCGACGCAAUCGCCUAGUAGCUGCAACGGUGAACUGCUUGGGGCGGCCGGGUUGGACUGCUGGUCGCCUAAUUCAUUAUCCAACAAAUGUGCUCGCCUAAUUCCAGGUACAACCUGUGAAGGUCCUAGAACAUCUAAUUCAUUAUCCAAUGAAUUUUCUUGCCUAAUGACUUGUUUAUUAUCACUGACACCGAUCCAUUAUGACGGCCUACGAAAGAAAGGUUCUUGCUUUCUUCCCUCAGGUCUGAAUCAAGAGCACCCGUAGUUUAAUUCAAAAUAAAAUGACAGUUCGAAUGGAGGCACAAAGAACUUUACAGUCGGGAGCUGGAGAGGAGAAAUUUUGAGCAGGGUGUACCUCACGAUGGCUGGGGAAGGGGCGCUGCGACGGUACACGGCCUCGGGCGGCAGGUUUGGUGUGCAUCUCCCUGUAUCAGUGUUGACACUCCCUCUUGUUUCCUGUCAAGAAAGAAGAAUGAGGUCACCAAUGGCGUUUUCAAGGGAAUUAAUUAGCAUGCAUUUCAUCGACAUGAGCGGCUCGCUGGAUCGGUAGCUCUACAGGAGCUCAUGAAUACACCACGACUCCAGCAGCAAAGCCCUGAGUAGUCCACCCUCUACAUCUUCCCCUUCUACUUUUGAAACCAGAAAAAUGAAACAACUCGUCGGUACAUGAAGAAUGAGAGAAAGGAAAGUCAAAAGAACUUAAGCAUCCCACAACUACUUCUGCAAUUUAUCCUAAUCCCUUUUGCUCAGUGCUUGAAAUGUCCUACAAUAAUCAGGAAAUAGAAAGGAAAGUGGUGAGAGCUUUCGGUUGAACUUUCAACGCUUUGUCUUUUGAACUUAUAUGACCUUAUUAGUUCUUUGUUUUAAAAAUUGUAAAUACAAUGUUCCUAAUCUGAAAUAAAACAUUUUUUCUGGGAAAGGGAAAACAAUGAGACACCGAACCCUCUCUCUAAUACACACAGAACUGAUGGUAGAAUACAUAGCGAGUUGCUAAUAAUGUUUUUGAUUUUCCCCUUAGGAAACAUGAUCUUUUCUUCUUAUGAUAUAUAAAACAAAACUAUCUCUCCAACACACAUCGAACUAUUCGCACAUUUCUCUGUGGAUUGAGGAAAGAAUACAUAGUGAAAUAACAUGUACUAGUACUAGUCUUGAGAAAACAAGAGCUCAAAUGCCAAGCAAGGAGUUUUUGUGUUAGGUUUGAACUGAUAGCCUACCUGUAAGUAAACCAAGGAUCACAUAAUACUGCCCUGGAAGAUCAAAGCCAGUAAGUUACCAAUGAUGAGGAUUCGUUUUGGUGCUGUUAUGGUACUGUUACUCAUACAUUUCUUUAUUUCAGAACUGGCAAUAGAAUUAUGAUUGUCUAUUUGAGAAUCGGAUUCAAAACUGGCAAUCUAUAUAUCUGGAAAGAAAGGUAACACAGCAAGAAUGCUUGAUUAUGUAAUUUUUUUGCAACGAAAGCUACUAUUGGAACUCAUGUACCCUGUACAAGUUCGGUUCUCAAAAUAAAAUUAACAGUACAAGAAAUAAAUAAUGAGAGUGCAGCUUUUGAAAAUGUUGUGCUAAUUCAAUGCUAGGGUAGCAAAAAAUAAAACAUUACACAUCAUACUAAUUGUAGUACAAAAUGGUUCUUUUUUGCACAUUUUUGUGGGUUAAGUUCAUAUGGCCAGUAGCUAUCAAGGAUUCAAGUGAACUCUCAGUAAAAGUAAUUGUGUACUCCUCAUGUAGAAAUACCUGGACUUAUUGUCGCAUGUGUUCUUUGUCAUCCAGAACACAACAACGUUUUUCUAUGCUACUCUCUCUGAUCACUUAAGAAUCACAAAAGGCUUGCAAACUGUGAGCUUGUACUCUCACUAAUAAUCAAUAGGACUCUCAUGUUUCUUGAGCACAGAUCAACGGAAAACAUCCAAAAACAAAAUCUGUACUGUUUGCAAAUGUUCCAUAGAAUAUCUUAUCAUGAACGGACUGGUGAACUAACAGAGAAUUUGUUUCCAGCAACCUUCCUAGCGGUUCACGUAUUUUUAUUUCUCGAGCUCUAAUUUUUUAGCUUGCCCGACAUCUAAACAUGAACUAACACGAUACUUCUGCUGAUAUUUUUCUGUCAAUGAACUUCUACAAUUUAGGUACUAUAACUCACUGAUGCUAUUUACUCUUCAUUUUCAAGGCAUUUUCAGUACAUGCCAAACAUUUGUUUUUUAAACACAUCCACAGGUUAAACGGAUCAGUACAUGAUGAAGAAUGUCAGUUUUCAGAAGCAAAACUUGCACUAAAUAUGUUCAGAGAACAUGAGGCUCUCAUGUACUCUAGGCUACACACCAAACCUAGCUUUUACCAUGAUGCACCUUCUACUAUGGAAUGUAGACACGGAAAUAAAACAAUUUCUUAUAAAGCUUCGUAGCCCAUUCACUUCAACCUUUAGAAGAAAAACUUAUUUUUUGGGAGAAUAGAAGAUGAUUUCUAAACUGCAGUACUUACCCCAGCGCUAGAGCUCAUGGGGAAGAGGAGUGGACAAAGGAAAAAACAUUUAUGUAGGGUGUCUGCCAUAUGAAUUGGCCAAGGUAUUUUUUGGGCAAACCUUUCUACCUAGUUGUUCGUACUUCAUAUGAACUUCACAGCAUUUUUUGUGCAAUGAACUUGCUAUCCCAGACUACUCUCUUCCCCUAUCAACCUAAUAAAACACUAUUUUUUGGUGGAGUGCUCUAGUACCUGAACUACUCUCUUCCCACUUUGUCAAAACUCUGUUCCCGCUUUGUCAAAAUUAUGUACUUUUCUCGACUCUUGUAUUUGAACUACUUAGAAUAUUUUAGUUGAACUCUUUCUAAAAGCAGUAAAACCAAGCGAUGCCGUGGUAGCUAGGAACGAAAAAGAAAACAAAGAGAGCUAGCGAACAUGCACUGCACCAUUUCGCUUUGCCAUGAGAUGGCCAUGGAGCUAGGCGAUCUUUGAUGGCCCUACAAAGGCAUUACGUAACUGAAUGUGCAAGAAACGGGAGAAAAAAGUUCAGUAGCGACACUGGCUCACCAGCAAAAAAAGACAUAUACUACAGAAUGUGCCAAAAACAAGAGAACCAACAUUUUGGCACUAAACUGUCACCACUCACUAUCGUAAAAUGUGGAAGAAACAGAAGAACCACCAUCAAUAAAAAUGUAUGUGAAGUGGAGUGUUAGUUGGAAAGAUUUAAUUUAGUAUAACAUGCAUUUUAUUAUUUCAAUAUUCUAAUUCAGAAUUAAAAUGUCCCAGGAGAGACAAUUAGCAGCUCAUGGCAAGACCUAAAUCUGCUUGAUCAGACAUUAUACAAUUGUGCACUGAAAUUCAGCUACUUAAUUUUGGAUAAGAAUCACAAUGUUGGAUUUGAAUGAAGAUACAAAUAGUAUUAGACAAACCUCAGGAUAUAGCUCAGAGCUUCAUUCGGCUAGGUAUCAUCAGUACACCCUCCAUGUCAAGUUCUGAACUGAACAUGUUUUGAAGUUGAGACAAACAAAGUCGCAUUGGAGUUGACAGAGGGUGUUCAUGCGCCGGGUUGUCGAGGCCACGUUGAACAGGCAGUGGUGGCAGAGGUGAACGGUCUAGGGUGGCGGAGGUGAAUGGCCUGCAUGUUGAGGCGGCGGGACACAUCGUCGGGAGGAGUGGGCGUGUCGCCGGCAGGAGGGGUGG